UUUGGUUCUAGAAACGGGGCUUAGCUUUGCUCCAGAGCUCGCCAAAAUUAAAGUACAAAUUCUUCCGGUGUUUGGACCUAUAGUGUAGAUCUCACGACUUUUUAUGCGAUCCGAAGAGUGAGACCCUUGAAGAGUUUUGUAAUGUGUCUAGUACAUUUUUGUUUACUUCUCAUAUGUAUCGGAGGAAGGUGCAUUCACCAUAUAUGCUAUGCAUGCUAGUGUUAAGCAUAUCCUUCAUUGUAUUAUUCUCUGCACAUGUUUUCAUAAUAGCUUGGUGGUUAUGUACUGGUUUGGUUGGUUGGUGGGGGGAGACGCAUGUGUUUCGUUCCGACAACAAGAGCGUCAGCACGCAAAGAGCAUGCCGCGUCUUUCGUGUGGCACGAUCAACUUCAACUACUACGCCUGCCAUCCGUGAGAUUUUGACUACCCAAUUUACUCUUCAGCCUCGUCAACUUUCAACGCCAACACAACCUGCAUGCAUUGCAUGUGAGAUUGCUUAGAUACAUGGAUAAUGUGCUACCGGUUACCACUCGUAGGGAUUGUUGGAACAAACGUUUAAUAAUACAGUAUAAAAUUUUCCUAGAAAUAUUAUGGCAAAAAAGAAAAAAAAACUGGGGAGCAUGACAUGAUGUCCCUGCAUCUGCAUGUAUCCGACAAUGUGCUGAUGAUCACUUCUGCAGCUGGGAAUGGGAUUUUGCCUUUGAAAUCCCUGCAUGUAUUCCGUCAUCCUUUCCGAGGAUUCCAAUAUUAUGUUAACGGCUUACAAAAAAAAUCAGUUAAUUAAUUAGUUAACAGCGUUCGACCCCACGAAACUCCACAGCAAGCAGCCAACCAUCAUCCUCUCCCCAGGGCUAUAUAUGCAUGGCCGUCGACCGCACCAUCGCCCAGCUUGAGCUACACACCUCCCCACUGCCCAACAGUCUCGCCGUGUAGCGGCCGCGCUCACUUCCUUCCCAUCGCAUGGCCGGGGCAAGCGCGCAGCCGGCGUGGGCGCAGGCGCUCGCGGCGGUGGGCCUCCUCGUCGCGUCGCGCGCCGCGACGCGCCUUGCGCUGUGGCUCUACGCGGCGUUCCUCCGCCCCGCCAAGCCGCUGCGCCGCCGCUACGGCGCAUGGGCCGUCGUCACGGGCGCCACGGACGGCAUCGGCCGCGCGCUGGCCUUCGAACUCGCCGCCGCCGGGCUCGGCCUCGUCCUCGUCGGCCGCAGCCCCGACAAGCUCGCCACGGUCUCCAAGGAGGUCAGCGCUAGGUUCCCCGGCGCCGAGGUGCGCACCUUCGUCAUCGACUUCGCCGCCGACGGGCUCGCCGCCAGCGUGGCCGCGCUGGCGGAGUCCAUCCGGGGGCUCGACGUCGGCGUGCUCGUCAACAACGCGGGUCACGGCUACCCGUACGCGCGCUACUUCCACGAGGUGGACGAGGAGCUCAGGAGGAACCUCAUACGCCUCAACGUGGAGGCCGUCACCCGGAUGACGCACGCCGUGCUCCCUGGGAUGGUGGAGCGCAAGCGCGGCGCCGUGGUGAACAUCGGGUCCGGCGCCGCCUCCAUCAUGCCGUCCACCCCGCUCUACACCGUCUACGCCGCCACCAAGGCGUGAGUACUGCUCGGCCCUCUCCUCUUGAACCACUUUUGAAGUUAGUUUCAUUCUUGCUAUAGGUGUUAAAUAUGAAUGCAGAAAUUUAAAAUAGUGCAUUUUAACCUUCAUUACGAAGUGAUUCGCAAUUUUUUUUAUUACAAAGUCCGUUAGGAGGAGGAUGUCGUUCACCCGUUCUAGUUUUAUUUUCUUCUUUUGUUAUCAACAUAAAUCACAUCACACGUAAGUAGGAACCGACAUUUCAUUUGAAUCAAUAGCAUAUUUCAUGUUUCAUCUGAUUUGCUUGACAUGUGUUCAGUACUACGAUAGUGUGUCACAUACAAGUAAGCUGAGUGUUAACCGAUAUCAAUAUAUCUUUUUCCAUAUUUUGUUCCAUUAACCACUUUUCUCCCUCCUGACAUGUCAAGUCCACGGUUAGACACGGAGGCCAUGUAACAUAUAUUGGAAAUAAUUGCACAAAUUCUCUUAGAACUAAAAAUUCUAUCUCACCAAUUUUAUCUCCAAACUUUUCUGUAAGCAUAAUGUAAACACAUACAGAAUUUCCUCAUAUUUAUUGUUUUCGUUCUAAAAAAAGCACACCUCAGGGGUAAGAAAGAUGGAUAAAUUCUGAAAUUGAGUAUUCAUUGGCACUUCGAUGCCAAUGAGGGCAGUGAUGAGUGAACUAUAUAUACCCUCGAUUUAUACAACAAAUUUAUUUUAAAGGAAAUAUGGCAAUUUGAUCUUGCUUAAAUCUGCAGACCCUUGCCAUAUGGGUAACACACCGUCUUUCAUUUCUUCACAGUGAUACCAAAAUGAUUACAUCAUUUGCAACUGUAAAGGUACAAAUUGCACACACUAGGAUAGGUACAAAGAUGAUAUUUCAUUUCUCUACAUUUUUUGUUUGCAGAUCACUGGUUUCUCUAGAUUAUACAACAUGCAUUUAUUUGUUUCAAAAAGUUGACUAUAGAUCUCUCCACAAAAAAGAAAGUUGACUAUAGAUUGUAACUAAAUACAAACUCACAAGAAGUAUGUGCGCGUGCGUGCUCGGAAGAAGUUACAUACCACUCGCCAGGCACAGUGAUAGGAACUCAACUAUUUCUGAGAACCGGCAAUGAAACUAAUGUGUUUCCAAUUUCUCAGGUAUGCUGAUCAAUUCUCCCGAAGCCUAUAUGUGGAGUACAAGAACAAAGGCAUCGAUGUGCAAUGCCAGGUACUAGCUAGUUAAUCACUCUUGUAGAGGGCUGUUGCAUUUCAGUUAUCUCCGUUAUUUUGCAUGUCAGGCAUAGUGAUGUUCCUGUAUGUUUAGAGAAAUACAAAUGAUACAGUAGUAUUUUGGUAUUUUUAUGAUCUACCACCCCACCAGUUAAAAGUCUUUACUGGCCCUCCCAACGAACGCAUGGAUUUUCUCACUGUGGCACGAGCUAGUUCACAUGGUUGUAGACCUGUACUGGAUCGUACAGUAGACAGGUACUGGUGCAUGGGCGCGAGUUAGUUCAACUAGAAACCGAAAUCAACUAAAAAAAAUAAAUAAAUAACAAGAAACCGGAAUCAUGACGUGUAGAAACAGUAGGAGCACUCAAUUAGUGUCAGUUCGCCGCAAAUCCUACUGUUUGGUCCAAGGCAGUAAUAAUCAGGAGUUAUGCACUUAUCAGUGUCACCUCAUUCGUCAAACUGAAUGAAUCUCUCUUAUUUGGGCAGGUACCCAUGUACGUGGCGACCAAGAUGGCCUCGAUCAGGCAGGCGUCCCUGUUCGCCCCGUCGCCGGAGACGUACGCCCGCGCCGCCGUGCGCUACAUUGGGUACGAGCCUCGGUGCGCGCCCUACUGGCCGCACGCCCUCCUGUGGUUCCUCUUCUCCGUGGUGCCCGAGCCCCUCGUCGAUGGGUACGUCCUCGGCAUGUCCCUCGGUAUCCGCAAAAUGGGCCGUGCCAAGGAGGCCAGGAAGAAAGCGGUGUGACACGCGCGGUGGAAGAAAGGGCACGUACGGUCGUAAAGAUGGACUCAGAUGAAUGUGUUAAUUCUACAAUCUUCAUGACCAAUUGUAACACGACGAACGACUGAAUGCAGCCUCCCUUCCCCUUCCAAACAGUUUUAUCUGUAUUAAGACUUAAUUUGUGAUAUUUAUCCAUGUCUCACCAACGGGCCAAAAUCGUUCGAAGAUCAUGAAACUGAAUUCAUAUAUUGAAUGUGUUAAGAUCAAUCAUAGACAGCUUUGUAAAGGCCAUCAUAGGGAGCUAACAACACUGGCUGCCCUCGAAAAGUCCAGGGGCCUCCUUCCAUGACUUUAUCCUAAUCUCCAAGGCAAGAAAAUUGCAUGCAUGGUGUAAAGGUUAUUACUGGGUGAUCAGAAAUUGACAGCUGGUGCAAGAUCCCGUGCGAUUCCUCACAUCCUUGGAAAACCAGAAAUCCCCAUACUCACGGCUGGUGUGGACCUUGUCGAUCGCAAGCUAACGUGCCUCCAUGGUUUGUUCUGGCAUAAUGUCCUCAUACUCUCUCCAUUCCAUAAUAUAGUGGAUAUAGAUUUUUUAUAAAGUCAUAUCUCACAAACUUUGAUCAAGUUUGUGGAGAAAAACAUUUACAUAUAGAAUGCCAAACAUAUAUCAACAUAUUCAUUAUAAGAUGUAGUUUCAUGUGUUAUAUAUUUGAUAUUGUACAUACAAAUAGUUUUCUCUAUGAAAUUGGUCAAAUUUUGCAAUGUUUGACUCUUCUAAAAAUCUAUAGGCACUACAUUACGGAACAGAUGGAGUACACCAGCUCAUCUAUGUCUUCCUCAAUGAUGCCUAGUUCAUUCAUCAGGUCCUCAAGUUCCUUGUCCUCCCAUGUCGUAGACGCAGACACGGCACCCGCCAUCACCAAGCUAGGGUUUGCACGAUCCCGAGUGUGUCCGCACCGCCAAACACUAAAACCGUCGUCGUGCAAAGGCCAGGAAGCAGCGCAAGGCUGCCAUUUAGUCAACCCGAGCGGGGGAACAUGAGGGAAGGAAGGGGAGUGCCGGGUGAAAGAUCGUGGAUGUCGCCUAGAGGGGGGGGAGGGGGGGGUGAAUAGGCGCUUUAAAAUAAUUACGGUUUAGGCUUGAACAAAUGCGAAAUAAACCUAGCGGUUAAUUUGUCAAGCACAAAACCUACAACAACUAGGCUCACCUAUGUGCACCAACAACUUAAGCUAAGCAAGAUAAGCAACUAUGUGAUAGCAAGAUAUAUGACAAGAAACAAUAUGGCUAUCAUAAAGUAAAGUGCAUAAGUAAAAGGGCUCGGGUAAGAGAUAACCGAGACACGCAGAGACGACAAUGUAUCCCGAAGUUCACACCCUUGUGUAUGCUAAUCUCCGUUUGGAGCGGUGUGGAGGCACAAUGCUCCCCUAGAAGCCACUAGGGCCACCGUAAUCUUCUCACGCCCUCGCACAAUGCAAGAUGCCGUGAUUCCACUAAGGGACCCUUGAGGGGAGUCACCGAACCCGUACAAAUGGCAACCCUUGGGGGCGGUCACCGAACCCGCAUACUUUGGCAACCCUUGGGGGCGGUCACCGGUACCCGUCAAAUUGCUCGGGGCGAUCUCCACAACCUAAUUGGAGACCCCGACGCUUGCUCGGAGGUUUACACCACAAUGAUUGAGCUCCGAACACCACCAACCGUUUAGGGCGCCCAAGCACCCAAGAGGAACAAGCUCAAGGGUACCAAGCACCCAAGAGUAAUAAGCUUCUCAACUUGUAACUUUCACGUAUCACCGUGAAAAACUCAAACCGAUGCACCAAAUGCAAUGGCAAGGGCACAUGGAAUGCCCAAGUCCUUCUCUCUCAAAUCCCACCGAAGCAACUAAUGCUAGGAAGGAAAAUGAGAGGAAGAACAAGAAGGAGAACACCAAGAACUCCAAGAUCUAGAUCCAAGGGGUUCCCCUCAUAAAGAGGAGAAAGUGAAUGGUGGAAAUGUGGAUCUAGAUCUCCUCUCUCUUUUUCCUCAAAAACUAGUAAGAAUCCAUGGAGGGAUUGAGAGUUAGCAAGCUCGAAGAAGGUCAACAAUGGGGGAAGAACACGAGCUAAAAGGAUAAGGUUGAAUGGGGAAGAAGACCCCCUUUUAUAGGAGCUCCCAAAUCCAACCGUUAUGUGCUCAGUCCGCGCACGAGCGGUACUACCGCUCAGGGGAGCGGUACUACCGCCCGGGCGUAGAACACGGAGAGCGGAGCGAAACAGAGUGCGAGGCGGAGUCGUAUGAGCGGCACUACCGUUGGAGCCAGCGAUACUACCGCUUGGCUCAGCGGUACUACCACUGGGAUCACGCAUAGCGCCAGCCACGAGCACGGGGAGAAGGAACAGGGAGGAGGGCCAUUGAGCGGCACUAGGGGCGGUGGUAGCCGCGGUAGUACCACACAUGAGCGGUACUGCCGCUCCUACUGCCGUUGAACCCGACACGAGAAAGCCACGUCUCGAGUCGAGGCGGUACCAGCGCGGAACCAGAGCCGUACUACCGCUUAUGGCCAUGGGCGGUGCUACCGCUGUGGGACAGCGGUACUACCGUUUGUGGCGAUAAGCGGUACUGCCGCUCCGGCCCAACGGUACUACCGCUGGCACUAUCCUUAUGCCACUUCCACGAAAACAAGAAUACUCCACGGAAAACCAGAACUGCCAUAACUUCUACAUAUGAGCUCCGAAUUGAGCAAACUCAAGCUUGUUGGAAACAAGAUGACGAGUAGCAUCAAAACAAUGACUGGUUAUAAUAAGAAGAGGCAGAGGAGGUAUGCCUAACAAAUAGAGGAGUGAAACCUCCAACCGAGAAGAACCAACAAAACCUCCAACAUCGAAAACAUUAUAGAAGAUGCAUGUGAACUCCGUUUUUGAUGAACUCGAGCUUGUCAACAAGAUGACCAUAAGCUCCAAAACUCACAAAAAGAAGAACCAAACAAGAACCAAUAAAGAUGAUGCAAGGAUGUAAUGGUUUGAGCUCCCUACGAACGAUACGAUCAAGCUACUCAUCGAGAGCCCCCCUUGAUAGUACGUCAAUCAAUCCUAUAACCCGGUCUCCCAACCACCACUAUGAGACCGGUAAAAUAGAAAACCUAUCAAGGGUAAACCUUUGUCUUGCACAUAGUCCACUUGAGCUAGAUGAUGACGAUUUUGACUUCCUCAAGUUGGACCACCUUUCUUGAUUGUGUUGGCUCGAUGAAGACUAGUUGAUUGCUCCCCGUACUCCACUAUGGGUGAGCCACUCUUCCGCACAUAUUCACAAGUCCAUUGUCACCACAAAGGACGGCAAGCUUCAAACAUUUGAUCUCUUCGUGAUGCUCCACUUGAACUUGCACACCGCAACCUAACCCCACAAAGAACCCUCACGAAGACCAUGGGUUAGUACACAAAGCGUAAUUGACAAUGCUUAUCAUACCAUGGGAUCACUUGAUCCCUCUCGGUACAUCUUCUACGCUUUGUAGGUUGAUCAACUUGAUUCACUCUUUGACUUAGUCUUGAUCAACCUCUCACAAGACCAAUCUUUAGGUAAUUCCUUAAAUAGCACCUUGGUCGACACAAACUGUCCUUGAAACCAACACAUGUACUCCAAGAAAAGCCUAUGGACAAAACCUUCAAAUAUAACUCAAGGCAACCAUUAGUCCAUAGAGAUUGUCAUCAAUUACCAAAACCAAACAUGGGGACACCGCAUGUUCUUUCACCGGGGAAAGUCUCAACCUAAUGGAAUGCUAGUUGUAUCCUUCUGCCAAACUAGUUGGAACCUCGUAUCUGGCUAACAUUCGUCAGGAAUGGGCGGCAUUUCGAACACUUUUCAUGGCUAUCAUCCCAGAAAAUGUCAUAUCGCUCUGAAGAAACGGUCACCCACAUACAACUAAAAAUAUCGUCAAAAUCGUUCGAAAUGUCAUGUGUUGCUGGCAAACGUUUGCUAGGUAACAUUACCGAGAAAAAAAGGAUGCUAGUAAACGUUCGAAAUGUCAUAUGUUCCUGGUGAACGUUUGCUAGGUAACCCAACCUGGAAGCUUCCUUCCGCCAAAACCAAUGGCAUGCUAGACUCCUUCCGCCAAGUUUCAAACAUGUGCUAAUCACCUUCCGCCAAAGCUAAUAGCACCGGCCUACCGUUAUCCGGACGGAGAGAAGAGAGAUACAUGGUGGCUUUUGGUGGCUUUUGAUUAGGCAGAUGGAUGUUCGGACUUCCGCAAAUUUUCAUUAGGUUUACUUUCGAUUUACAUCAAAACGUACGCGUGGACACUUCCAAGAAGAAAUAAGGGUUUGUGUUAGAUGACAAAGUACGUCCAGAUAACUCGGUCCGGACGUUUGCAGGCUAUUUGAGGGUUUGUAUUGAAAAUGACCUUAUUGCCAAGAAAAAGAAAGGAGUGCCACCUCUAGUCCGAACAAAUGUAAACACAAGCUUCGUUCCGACACAAGAAUCUCAACAUGCAAAGAGCAUGCUGUGGCACAAAGCAGCUCAGAUGUCAAUUUUCGGAUAAUCAAGUAUUAUGCUGGCCAUCCGUGAGAUUUUGACCACUACUUGAGCUUCGUCAACUUUCAACGCCCGCACAGCCUGCAUGCAUUGCAUGCCCAUUCUAAGAACUAGCCCGUCACACCUCGAUAGACCAUACUAGAACCUACCACGAGUAUGCUCAUGUUAAGAGACUUGCAUAAUGUGCUAUCGAUUACCACUUGUAUGGAUUGUUGGAACAAACGAUUUUUAUGGUAGUCUUUUUUUUUUAAAUUGUUCACGGUGGUUUCUCUGGAGUGGCAUCUAUUUACAAAAAUAUUAUCGGUUGUGUGAGCGCGCAGGUAUACACAUGGCGUUUCCUUGACAGUGGUAAUUUUGAGUGACUUUGCGCCAAGCCAUGAUCCCCCAAGCCUCAAACUCGGCCACCUAGCUCUCAUAGCCUACAUUAUUCACAAUAGAAAUCUCUGGAUGCAUUCAUCAUUCCUCUCCAAGGGUUCCAGUAUUUUGUUCAGAUUGCACAUUGUCAUUUCCUUUGAUAAGUCCAACACUCUUUGUCCUUCAUCUUCUCGUGAUGAAAAGUAUUAUCGUCCACAAAUUUCAUGUAAUGCAUUCAAACUUUUUUUUUUCAAAAAGGAAAGGCUCCCCGGCCUCUGCAUCAGAGUGAUGCAUACGGUCAUCUUAUUAACCAAAUAAAAACGUGCCAACAAGGAUUCAAAGUCUCCAACUGAAAAAAGAAAAGACAGCUCACACAGAGCCAAAAAGGCUAGAGACACAAACUAGCCAGGAAAAAAACGCCACAACCGGCUGGCUAAAGAUAGAUAGGUAAACUAAUUGCCUAUCCUAUUACAUGACUGCCAUCCAAACCAGUUGAAUAUAUCCCGAGCUACCAUCUCCCAGCGGAUAGAUGCAGUAACCAAAUGCUCUUUGGCCUCCAUCGGAGUGAGUAGCGACCACGAACGGAUCACUGCCGUGGCUCGGAAAAUAACCUGCAAAAAAUGAAAACGUGAUGUUCUGUUAAAAACCAAAUCAUUUCUGCACUUUCAGAUAGUCCACAGCAAAGCACAAACUCCAACCCGAAUGUGUCUCGCUAAGUCAGGCUCAAUCCCAUUAAGCCAUGUCCCAAAAAUCGCAUUGACAGUAUUCGGUGGGUUAAUAUUAAACACAAUGUGGACCGUCUGCCAAAGGACUUUGGCCAGCGGGCAAUCAAUAAAGAGGUGUUUGAUCGUCUCAUCCCGAUCACAGAAACUACACCUAGUAGGUCCUGUCCAAUUACGCUUCAUCAAGUUGUCCUUUGUUAAAAUAACUUGUUUAUGGACAAAUCACAUAAACACUUUUAUUUUCAAAGGAACUUUGACAUCCCAUACACUCUUGGACGUUGGAAUGGAGUCCGAAUUAAUAACAUCAAUAUACAUUGAUUUAACUGUGAAUACUUCAGACCUAGUCAGCUUCCAGCGUAAUUUAUCGGGUUGUUGAGAAAGCUGAACCUCCAUCAGUCUCCUAACUAGACGAAGCCAUUCUUCCCAACGAUUGCCCGCUAGCGACCGUCUAAGCUGAAUAUUAAGGGGGAAUAGAUUGAAAUACUGUUGCAACGAACACCUCACAUCGUUGAACAAUACGAUAUAAAGACGAAUAUUGAAUGGCCAAGGGUGUGUCGCCGAGCCAAGUAUCUUCCCAGAAACGUGUACUAGCACCGUUUACAAUAACAAACUUUGUCCUAUUAAACAUAGAUUGUUUGACUUUCAUUAGUCCUUUCCAGAAAGGCGAGUCAGUCGGCCUGACUGUGACCUGGGACAAUGUAUUUGUCUGGAGGUACUUGCUGCGAAGGAUCUGCUCCCACAUGGCAUCAGUCCCGGAUGAGAGCUUCCACAACCACUUACUAAGAAGGCAUCUGUUCUUAACUUCAAGAUUCUCAAUACCAAGACCCCCUUGGUCUUUCGGUCUACAGAUGAUAUCUCAUUUAGCAAGCCGGUAUUUUCUUUUAAGUUCAUCACCCUGCCAAAAAAACGUGAUCGAUAGAAGUCCCGUCUUUUCCUAACACCAACUGGGACCUCAAAGAACGAUAAGAGAAACAUAGGCAUACUCGUGAGCACCGAAUUUAUCAGGAUUAAUUGGCCUCCGUAUGAAAUGAGCUUACCCUUCCAGCAACUCAGUUUCUUCUCAAAUCGGUCCUCGAUGCACUUCCAUUCUCUGUUUGUUAGCCUACGAUGGUGUAUUGGAAUACCUAGGUAAGAAAAGGGUAGAUCCCCCAACUCGCACCCAAACAAUUGCCUAUAAGCCUCUUGUUCGUCUUUGGCUCUACCAAAGCAGAACAACUCGCUCUUAUGAAAGUUAAUCUUUAACCCGGUCAAUUGUUCAGAUAGGCAUAGCACCAGCUUCAUAUUUCUCGCCUUGGCCAAGUCAUGCUCCAUAAAGAUGAUUGUAUCAUCAGCGUACUGAAGGAUGGAUACACCUCCAUCAACAAGAUGAGGAACCAAGCCACCUACUUGACCAUUCUCCUUAACCCUUUCUAUCAAAAUUGCUAACAUAUCCACCACAAUGUUAAACAGGAUACGGGACAUCGGGUCUCCUUGUCUUAGGCCUUUAUGUGUCUGAAAGUAAUGACCUAUGUCGUCAUUAGCUUUAAUUCCGACACUCCCUUUUUGCGUAAAUGAUUCAACCUGUCGGCGCCAGGCUUCAUCAAAAUCUUUCAUACGCAAUGCCUAUUUUUGUUUCCUACUCUCAGUAUUUCCAAUUUCCUAUAGAAAUUCGUAAGAUGUGACACACAGUCUGUGAAUUUUUUUUGACAGAAAGAUUAUGUGAAAUUGUUUUCUGUACCUUCAUUUUAUUUCAAAAGGCCUUCAUUUCAAAUGAUUUUUCAAUUAUAGAUUGUCAUGCUAUUAUGUUUCUUCAAUAAAAAACAAUUCAACUAAGAGGAUUCUGGCAAGAAAAAUACUAAGAGGAACCCCUGCGGAAUAAUACCUAGUAGAGAGCUACUUCCUCCGCCACUCGAAAAAAGUGAGUUUCGACAUUAACUUGAUCUUAAAAUAAAUAUAUAAAUUUAACCACUAAUUUCUGUUGGGGUAUAUGUAUGAAGACCAACGAAUCUAAUAGUCUGAAACUGCUCUUGAGACAAAUCUUUAUAUAUGGUUUUCAAGUUUGCAAUCUACUCCCUCAACUGUCAUAGUGAAAAAAAUGUCUUAUAUUUUUAUAUAGAGGGAUUCAGGGAGUAUGCAUUUAAAAACAAUAUAUAUGGUUAAAAAUUGGUUUACACAUGACCAAAGCAUGACUAUUUUAGUACUCCCUCGGUCCUUACUCGGCGCAUUUCACAAUAUUUCAAAUUUCCUAUAAAAUUUUUUAUAUUGCAAAUGUUAAUAUUUUCUUCUACAAACUUAGUCAAAGUAGAAAUACUUUAACUUCGGACAAAACUUAGCUACGGACUAAAAAGAAGCGGGAGGGAGUAGAUGAAGGGGGUAUGAGAGAAGCAGAGGUUUUAACCAGCACAGCAGGGUGUCCACCGCUGCACUAACGCCCUUCUCCUGUUCGCCAUCCAAAGAGGAGAAGACUCCGUCAGAGCAUCUCCAACAGGGGCCCAACGCGGCGCGCGUAAAAAACAGCUUUAGCGCGCGUUCAUCGCCUGGUUUGGCGCGGUGCACGGCGCCCGCUCCAGCAGCCGCGCUAAAAUGCAGCGCGGGCGCCACUCCAGUAGCGCGCAAAAAAUGCAGCGCGCACAUAACAUUUUUUUUAAUUUUCGAACGCAUAGAUAAAAUAAAAAUUAGAUAGAUUGCAUAAAUAAAAAAUGAUACAAAGGUAUUUUACAUCGAUGCAACUAGAUAGAUAGUUCGAAAGCAUAGAUAAACUACGGCGCAACUAGAUAGAAACUACUCUAAGUCGCUAUCAUCAUCACCAUUAUCAUCCUCGGCGGUGUCGUCCGAGGUGUCUAGCCAGAUGUCCAGCCACCGAUCAUUGUUCGGCGCGAAGAACGACUGCCCACCUGCUGCAACGAUGUCGGACUGCGCACUCGCCAACGCCUUCCGCUGACGCCUUUCCAACCGCGUCUCGCGGCGCCUUCGCGUGUCCUCCUCGCGGCGCCUUGCCCAGUAGGCCUGCUCGUAGGCGGCCACUCCGCCAUGACCCGCUCGUCCUCCUGGGCGACGAGGAGGCGGCGUUGCCGCUCGGCGUGCUCCGCACGGUCUUCCGCCGUGUUCAGACGAGGCAGAGGGGCGAGGUUGAGCGCUUGCUGGAGCGUGUACACAUCUUGAAAGUUCAUCUGGCCGCGCGGCCGGCCUAGGUGCCACGCCGCGGCGUCGUACGCGCGGGCGGCCUCGCGCGCCGUCCCGUACGUGCCGAGGCCGAGCCGGAGUUCGCCGGAGCGUAUCUCCGCGGUGUAGCAGCCGUUGGGGCGCAGGCGGACGCCGCGGUAGCCGGACGCUCCUCGACGGCGCGGCGGCAUGGCGGCGCGUCGGUGACGGGGCGCUGGAGCGGCGCGUGGCAGAGAGGGAGAGGAAGAGGGGAAGAGGAAGUGUGGAGAAGCGCGUGGCGAAGCGGCGCACAGCUUUAUAGGUGCGCCAAAUCUUGCACGAGAGCUGGCGCCUUUUCGCGCACGCGCGCAAACGGUUCCGACGCGCGCUUGUUUCCCGCGCCGCUGGAGCACGGCAAACCGCCCCGCGCGUGCUAAAAGCUGAAUUUAUUGCGCGCGUACGUUGUUUGGGGCGUCUGUUGGAGAUGCUCUCAGUUAAUCGCAGCCAAAAAAUAGUUAACAACGGUCCAGCUUGUGGCGCUCCGACCCCGCGAAACUCCUCAGCAAGCAGCCAACUACCGUACCAUCCUCUCCCCGGCCCUGGGGCUAUAUAUGCAUGGCCGUCGAUCGCAUCGUCGUCAAGCUCGAGCUACACCUUCCCACCGCCCAACCGUCUCACUGUUGCGUCCACGCGCGCUCCAGCUUCCUUCCCAUCGCAUGGCCGGGGCAAGCGCGCAGCCCGCGUGGGCGCAGGCGCUCGCAGCGGUGGGCCUCCUCGUCGCGGCGCGCGCCGCGCUGCGCCUUGCGCUGUGGCUCUACGCGGCCUUCCUCCGCCCCGCCAAGCCGCUGCGCCACCGCUACGGCGCCUGGGCCGUCGUCACGGGCCCCACGGACGGCAUCGGACGCGCGCUCGCCUUCGAGCUCGCCGCCGCGGGGCUCGGCCUCGUCCUCGUCGGCCGCAGCCCCGACAAGCUCGCCGCGGUCUCCAAAGAGGUCAGGGCCAGGCACCCCGGCGCUGGGGUGCGCACCUUCGUCCUCGACUUCGCCGCAGACGGGCUCGCCGCCAACGUGGCCGCUCUGGCGGAGUCCAUCCGAGACCUCGACGUCGGCGUGCUCAUCAACAACGCCGGCCACUGCUACCCGUACGCGCGUUACUUCCAUGAGGUUGACGAGGCGCUCACGAGGAACCUGAUACGCCUCAACGUCGAGGCCCUCACGAGGAUGACGCACGCCGUGCUCCCUGGCAUGGUGCAGCGCAAGCGGGGCGCCGUGGUGAACAUCGGGUCCGGCGCCGCCACCAUCCUGCCGUCCGACCCGCUCUACGCCGUCUACGCUGCCACCAAGGCGUGAGUACUCCUCUCGGUCCGUUAAAAUGCUCCCCACGUCGUCCCACGCUUUUUUUUGGCUAUCUUAUAAUUUUGGCAUAAAUCACAUAAGUAGGGACCCACAUUAGCAUAUUUCAUCUGAUUUUUUAAAUAUGUUUUCAGUACCUACAAAUAGUGUCAUAUCGUUAAGCCGAGUGUCGAUGUUUAGCUAAUUUACAAUUUUCAUCAUCAUUCUACAAUAUUGGUGCGUAUCAUGCUCAGUGGUGGAGCUACACAAGAUUGGUUGGGGUUUUCAAUCUGCACCUUCAUAUAACAAAUUUCUUCACAAAAUUUACCAAACCUGGGGGGGCCAUGGCACCUGCAGGGUUGCAUGUAGCUCCGCCAAUGAUCAUGCUAUAUUGUAAUACUGUUCUCAAUACAUGACUCUUUUGUAACUAAAAAAAUCUAACCAUUUUUAGCUCUAAAUUGUUGGAUAAUAAUCAUAAUGUAAAAGCAUACUAAAAUUCCCUCAUUUUUUCAAUUCUGACUUUGUAUUUUAAACAAAAUUUAGGAUAAUAAACAUAGAAAAUCUUUAAAGAUAAACCAUUGUGUGUAUAACUUGGAAUAUUAUAGUAAGGAUUUGUGUAUUCGCACACCUUUGGAUUGUUACAAACGUCCAUUUCUCUUUUCUUUGUGUAUGUCACUGGUUUUCCUAGAUUAUUAUACAAUAGACCGAGGGAGGGGGCUCACAAGAAGUUGCAUGCCCGCGUCUCAGGCGAAGUGAUUUUGUUUCCUAUUUGUGUAAACUUAACCGUUUCUGAGAACCGGCAAUAAUGAUAUACUUUGGUCUAUCAGAUAUGUCGAUCAAUUCUCAAGAAGCCUAUAUGUUGAGUACAGGAACAAAGGUAUCGAUGUGCAAUGCCAGGUACCAACUAAUAUCACUCUUAUAGUCGAUGCAUUUCACUAACCGCUCAAAAGAAAAUCUUCUUCUUAGCGUUUCUUUUUGUUUGAUUUUUAAAAUACAUACUUUCAUAUUUGUUGGUCUCAUGUAACCCUUUUGAAUUCUCCAGCAUGGAGUUAAUAGUGGGCUGUUGUACUGAAUUUCAGUUAUCUCCAUAAAUAUGCAAAUGCAUUUACAUGAUCGUGAUGUUUCUGUACAUUUCAUGGUAAACAACACUUUGGAAAAUAUAAACAAUAGCUUGACAUUUUUAUGAUUUGACACUCCGCUUGUUAAAGGUAUGUCUUUCCCGCAAAAGACGCUACGGUUUUAUGGGCUCUCAUUUCAAACAUGAUUUUUCUCAUGCUUACACGAGUUAGUUCAAUUAGAUGUGCACUUGUACUUGUACUGGACAGUGUGCAGUAGCUACAUAGACACUGAUGGGGAUAACAGUGACAUGGGGUUUUCAACAAGAAACCAAAUUCAUGACAUGUGGAUACAGUGUGAGCACUUAACGAGUGUCACUUCAAAAGUUAAUGUCCUACAGCUUGUUCUUUUUGGUCCAAGGCAUGUAAAUGAGGAAAGCAGUUGGCAUCGGUUCAGUCGUCCUUUUCAAAAAAAAAAAGUCGCAACUGAUUGAAUAAUUUGUGUGAUGUGCGCAGGCACCCUGGUACGUGGCGACGAAAAUAGCCUCGAUCAGGCAGGCGUCCCUGUUCGCCCCGUCGCCGGAGACGUACGCCCGCGCCUCCGUGCGCUACAUCGGAUACGAGCCCCGGUGCACGCCUUACUGGGCGCACGCUCUCGUGUGGUUCCUCUUCACCGUCGUCCCCGAGCCCAUCGCAGACAGAUAUGUCCUUGGUGUGUCCCUCGACAUCCGCGACAAGGGACGUGCCAAAGACGCUAGGAAGAAAGCCAUGUGAGUGACAUGCGCGGUGAAAGAAAGGCUCAUACGCUCUCAAAGAUCGACCCUCCGCGUGUUAAAUUCUACUACUCCCUCCGUUUUAAAAUAUUUGUCUUUCUAGACAUUUCAAAUGACUACUACAUACAGAUAUAUGUAGACAUAUUUUAGAGUGUAGAUUCACUCAUUUUGCUCCGUAUGUAGUUACUUGUUGAAAUGCUUAGAAAGACAAGUAUUUAGGAACGAAGAGAGUACAUGCCAACUGUAAUAAGAUGAAUGAUUGCGCAGCUAUUUCGGUUGCCAGUCAUCUUAUCGUGAUGUCCUGACAGUGUGUAUUGUGCUUGCACGUACCACAUGUUUCUUGGAUUUGGAUGGCAUAUGUACCAUCCUGUUCCUCCUAGCUAAUAAAAGGUUGUCUAAAUUAGCAAUACCGUUCUUUUUUAUGUACUCCCUCCAAUCUGAAUUAGUUUUUCUUUUUUGAGAACCCAAUCCGAAUUAGUUGAUGCACCUCUAUUACAAUGUAAAGCGGAGGGAGACCACGUAACAUAUUAGAUAAGCAACUCAAACUAAUCCCAAGAAAAUAUAAAGCGGAGGGAGUACAAAAAAAAUCUGCAACAACGUGGUAACCUAGGGGUGCAGAUAUGUAUCGCCUUGAGCGAGACUGAGCAGCCAUUCGCCUACAGCGAGUGUCCAGUUGGGCUGACUAAUUAGCUUCCUACAGGUGAGUUUCAUUUUCAUUGUUUUUCAUUUGUUUUGUAAACUUUAUUUUGCCUUGCUCAUAUUUUCAAGAAAAACCUGAAUACUUAUAUCCAAAAAUUAUAUUUAAUCCAUAUGAAACACUCAUAUUUUCUUAAAUAAUUAUUAAAAUCACAAUUUUGAAAAAUGUUAACACAAUGUAAUUUCUCUGUUAGUGUAACUUAAAAAAUGUUGAUACAAUUCAAAAAACUUGUUCAUGACAUUUAAAAAGUUUGCGCAUUUCAAAAAUAAGUUUUUGAUAUUUUUUAAAAUGUUUAAAUAAUGUAAAAUAUAAUAAAUGUUCACAUAAUUUUUAAAAAAGUUUUGUAUCAUUCAGAAAAAUGUUUCGACAUGUAUUUGACAAAUGAUUAACACAUAUUUACCUACUAGGAAAAAUGAGCGUGUGUUGCAAUGGGAGAAAAAAACAUCACAUCUCUAAGAAUGACUCAAGAUCCUUCACUCAGGUCCAUGUCCUCUAUUUUAACAUAGCAAUCCAACAAUGUCUAUCCUUCCCCCUCCCUUAUGUGCGGUUUGUAAUUGCAAUACAUUAAGAUCUAAAGUAAUAUUUAAAAUCCUAUUAUCCACAAUAUUCUCAUGAUAUCCAAAAGUUAAAAACAAAAGAACAAAUAUAAAUAUAUGCUUAGAAACUCAGGAAAAAAAUUCCACUCAAACAACUUUACAAGUAAAAUAACAACAAAAGCAGGCAACAUUAUUCAAACUAUUUUGGUUUAAAAACAAUAAAUUUUUUAAGUUCGUAAAUCCUAUAACUUUUUCAAAAUACAUAUAAUAAGUAAACAUGGAUAUGAUUUUACUUGAUGUUUCAAGUUGCAUGGUCUCCAUCUUGUUGGUGAACUGGCACAUGGCAAGUUGACACUAUUUUUUUUGCCGAAAUCGAAGUACAAUGUGGUCUGAGAGACGAGGAUGUAUACCGAUGUUCACUUCCUUAGAGGGAAGCUAUGUCACCGUUUAGAGAGGUGGAUGUUACCACGAUGGCACACCAACGCCAUGAAGACUCACCCUAUUCUCUCUUUGAGACAACACCACGAAGGCGUUUCUCAACCACUAGUGGUAGACCUUGCGGUGGUCUCAAAAUCCUCACAAACUUUCCGGGGAUAAUCACAAUGAUUGAUUCCUCACCGAAAGACUCCUACCGCCUAGGAGUCUCCAACCUCCAAGAGUAAUAAGAUCCGAGGGAAAAAAGCUCAAGGCUUGCUCAAAUCACGAUUUGCUUCGGUCACAAGAAGGAGAGGGAGAAGAUCUUUAUUUUGAUUGGAACAAAUCUUUCAAACUCUCAAGAAUCAAACCGGGAUCUAGGAUUUCGUGGAUUAGCAAGAGAGAGGGAGCACAGGUGUUCUUGGGGCGUGUUGGAGUGGAGUGUUCCACCUUAUCUCGAAGAGGUAAGGAGCUAUUUUUACCCACAACAGAAUAGAGCCGUUUUGAGAAGAGGUUGACUUGCCCGGAUGAUCUGGAGGACCAUCUGAAUGAUUUGGUCACAAGCCCGGAUGCUCCGGCUAAAGACCCGGAUGAAAGUGGUAGCAGCAGAACUGCAUGGAGGUCGGACAGUCCGGAGGACAGCCUAGAUGAUCUGGUCACAAGCCCGGAUGAUCUGGAUGAACGAUAGGACGAUCCGGCUUUAUCCACCAAACUUCUGUGACGGAAGAGGCGAUAUUAUCCAGACGAUCCGGGGCAGGUCCGGAUGAUCCGGCUACAAUUAGUGCCAAAUGAUGCUUCCUGGAUGCAUUAUCCGGACGAUCAGGAUCCAGCACCGGAUGAUCCGGGGCCAAGUCCGGAUGAUCUGGGUAUGGGGUCAGCUUGUGGACAGAAUGAAGAGAAAGAGUGGUAGGUUUUGGCUAAGGGGUUUUGCUAGGGAUUUUGGUAUUUUGUGAAAAACUACUUGUGAGGUAGAUUGUGAGCAAGCCUUGAACCUACACCUCGGAUCCCCUCUUAAUAGCGCGGGAUCCCAAUUACUCAAGAAAUGUAUAAAAGAGCACGAUGCUUCGUCUUUGUUUGCUCCUUUCCUCAUUGAUUAUUUGCUUGAGUAAUAUCUCAUAUGAUGUGACCACGACGCACAUUAGAAAAACCAUAGGACUGAUGACCUGUGUAUAUACUUAGCAAACAAGGUUAGUCCCCUAUAUGUAAAUUUGUCAUCAACAUCAAAAAAAUUCUUAAGAGCAAGAUUGCACUUUUAAUCUCCCCCUUUUUUGGUCGUUGAUGACAAACUACAUAUAGCUCUCAGCAAGUGAAAUGUGAUGCGAAUAUUCUUAGGAGAGUUGUCCUCUAUGUGUUUUAGGGAGAGCUCCCCCUUAAUGUAUGCAUAGGAGUAAAGUGAUAAAAUACAAAAUGAUGCACAUAUGGCGUGGAUACCCUCAUUCGGCAUAUAAUGUUCUAACAGCAGUGUAGACAUACACCAUUAAAAGCAACAUAAGCAACGAAUGAAGAUAGCAUACAUAAGCUCUUACAGGGUACUCAUAACUCAUAAUCUCAUACAAGGUAUAAUCUCAUACAAGGUAGCAUAACACAUGACCAAAGGUCAAUUACAAUAAUAAUAAUGAGUCCAAUAACUAGAGCUCAAUAAACAUAGCUGACACACACUCAUACUCCUAAGAAUUACAUCUCCCCCUUGGCAGCAAGUACCGAAAAGGGGAAAACGGUAGAGAAGGUAGGAGGAUCACUCAACAUCCUCAUCAUCAUCCCCAUCACCAUCACUCAGAUCAGCAGGGUUAAGGAAGAACUCGGGAAAGUCAUCGACAGAAGGAAAGUAAACCUUCGGAAGAGGAAGACGAUCAGGAAUAGGCUCAUCUGGCUCGACAGGACUCCCAGGGCGCGCAUGGAGGCGAGCCCUAAGUGCAUUCGCCUCAGAGAUACGACGAACCUCCUCGGUAGCAAUGUGAGUAGCAGUGUAGCGGCAAGUGUCAAAGAUAGCCUUGUGGGACUUGCCAAUGAAGCGAGCCAGGCGGUCAAAAGGCUUCACGAAAGGUUUAGUGUGGCGAGAAGUGCACAAGGAGGAGCAGGAGCCUUCCCUCUGGAAGACUCAUCACGCGGAGUCCACAUGGAGUGUGUGGAUGUCUUGGUAAUGGGACAAGGAUAGACCAAGUCGAUGACUGUCUGAAUGAAAGGGGCAUGGGGAAGUGUACGAACCUUCAGACAACUAGCCAUGUGGAUCUCGUUCCAGAGAAAAUCUGCCAUGUCAAUGGAACGGGUGGGAGCCUUCCUAGAGUAGUACAUCAACUCAAUGCUAUAGGCCCGAACCAUUCCACGAUCCCCUUUAUUGGGAGCAAUGGAGUUGAGGACAUACUGGAAGAACCACUGGUAUUUGGGAUGAAAGAUAGAGAUAUCAUUAAGCUCCUUUUGUUGCUGCGUUGUGGAUAGCUGGGUGGUAGGCAGGACGAGAUAGCCACAUGCACUGAUGGGCAUGGGCUCAAACUUGGGGUUCACCUCAUGGAUCCGAAACAGAGAGGCCUCAGAUCCAGGCAUGCCCAAAGCAGCAGCAAACUCCUCGAAGGUGACAGAUAACUGAGAGUGGUGAGUCAUCCAAGUGAUAGACCGGUCCGGAUGGAAGAAACAUAUGGCAUAGAAUUGCCGAAUGGCAGCCUCAUUCCAAUCACAAUGAAGAGACAUAGCAUGACACAACCCCAUGCCAUCAAUCUUCUCCAACACACCUUCGAACUUGGAAGGAUUGUUCUCAAUGAAACCCAAGUUCACGUAAUGUUGAGGAGAGAAACCAAGAUGAGCAAUGACGAAUUGGUAGAGGUCUUGUUGAACCAACAUGCAAAAACAAGGAUCGGUGGCAUUUGCAGGAGCGGGAAAUUGGUUGACAUCACUCCUUAAGGCAGCAUACUUAGAGGGGUCCAUGGGCUGAUAAUUGACAAAACAACGGCCACGUUUGGUGGGGUUGGCCAUGGACAGAACGAGACCAGUAGUUGCCGCAGACUGGGAGCUGGAGGCACCGGUUGUUUUCUUCUUCUUUGACUUAGUCGUGGAGCGAACAUGCACGAGAUCCUCCCCGUGGAGUUUGGCCUAGUAGUCAGGGUCGUCCUGCCCGACAUAGGACGGACGAGCAUGCCCCGGCUCCUUCUUGAGUGGACGAGCAACAUCCUCUGAGUCCGUCGAUGCUUGACGACGCACAUCUGUGUACACACAUAGGAGAGAGAGCCAACUCGUUGAAUGACUAAACCUAGAUGAAAAACGGAGAAAUAGAGGAAAGGAGCAUAUGGAGUACCACAAGAGGGGCCGAGGACGUCGACUUGAAGCUCCGGCCACCACCUCCACGUCCGACCACCAUGUCGGAGUUGGGGAUAGAGGGCGCGAGAUUGGGGAAGAUCCAGUCGGCCCCGAGAGAAGCCGUGCGAGGAGGGAGUAGAUCGAGGAGGAGGUAGCGUGAAAGGGGCAAAACGAGGCAGUUGGACGGCCGUACUAGCAGGGCCGGCCACGAGCAGCCGGUGGUGGUGGGAGGGGCGAGCGGUUGGGGGCAGUGGGGAAGAAAACAGAGGGGUACCCCUCUGUUCCUACUCGGCCCGAUUUUAGUUUUGGGGCGUGGACCCACCCGGAUGACCGAAAGGAGGCCCGGAUCAGCCGGAGUGUUCCAGAUGACUGGAUAAUGGCCCGGACAUCCGGGCAUACGACAGAGAGACCCAGACAUCCGGAUAUAUAUCCGGAUGAUCCGGUCAGCCAGAGUGCAGAUAGCCAGAGUUAAUGAUGAAGUGGUGAUGAUGUGAUGAUUUUGACAUGUAUAUCUUUAUAUAAGUGUGAGUAACAACAUAACCCAGAGCAUAGCACACACCCGCAUGAACAACUAAGAAGAGUUUUUAACCUAAGUUACCAUGUUUGAGUAUACAUAACUUGGUAUACCAAAGAUGAGAACUUUGGACCCAAGAUUACUACUCCAUCAUUUUAAGGUGCUAUGGACACUUAAAAAGUGUCAUAGUGACUUUGAGAGUGUUGGUUUUGUUUGCACAUUGCAUAGGGUAAAGAGGAUUCAUGAAUUGAAGUUCUCCCUCGAAAUAUAUGCCCACAUCAAGACAAGACAUGACAAAAAUGCAUGCUUGGGUACUAGAUUUCACAUAAUGUUGUCAAGCUCCAAGAUACCAAGUUCACGCCUAAGUUGAUAGAAUCUUGCUUCAUCCAAUGGCUUGGUGAAAAUGUCAGCAAGUUGCAUAUCUGUACCAACAUGACCAAUAUCAAUGUCACCCUUUUCCACAUGAUCUCUCAAGAAAUGAUACCUAAUAUCAAUGUGCUUGGUGCGAGUAUGAUCUUUGGGAUUCUCAGCAAUAUUGAUGGCACUUUCAUUAUCACAUAGAAGAGGCACAUGUCUAUAGUUGAUACCGUAAUCCUUCAAAGUUUGCCUCAUCCAUAGUAAUUGAGUUGCACAACUGACGGUUGCAACGUAUUCAGCUUCGGCGAUGGAGAGAGCAACACAAUUUUGUUUCUUCGAGGACCAACUUACCAAGGAGCGUCCAAGAAAUUGACAUGCACCGGAGGUGGACUUACGAUCCACUUUGUCUCCAGCCCAAUCCGCAUCUAUGUACCCAAUGAGAUCAAACUUAGCAUCCUUGGGGUACCAUAGACCCAACUUUGGGGUGUGAACAAGGUAUCUAAGAAUAUGCUUAACCGCCUUAUGAUGACUUUUCCUAGGGUAAGCUUGAAAUUUAGCACACAUGCAUACACUAAACAUGAUGUCUGGUCUAGAUGCACAAAGAUAAAGCAAUGAACCAAUCAUAGAGUGGUAAAUAGAUGGGUCGAAAGGGAUACCAUUUGUGUCUUCAGUGAGUACAAAUUUGGUUGGCAGGGGUGUCUUACAUGGACUAGCAUCAGACAUGCCAAACUUCUCUAGGAUAUCCUUGAGGUAUUUUGCUUGAGACAAUAAAAUUCCUUCUUGAAAUUGUUGAAUUUGGAAUCUGAGAAAAAACAUCAAAUCUGCAUUGAGUGACAUUUCAAAAUUCUUGGUCAUGGAGGCCACAAACUUCUUGCACAAAUGAAUGUUAGGAGAACCAAAAAUUAUAUCAUCUACGUAGAUUUGGCAUAAGAUCAAAUCACCCUUGUCCCUCUUAGUAAAAAGAGUGGGAUCGAUCACCCCUCUCACAAAACCAUCAUCGAGUAAAAAGUUCUUAAUAUGAUCGUACCAAGCACGAGGUGCUUGUUUGAGGCCAUACAAAGCCUUAUGAAGUUUAUACACAUAGUCUCUAUGAUCGGGAUUAAUGAACCUAGGUGGUUGUGAUACAUAUACUUCUUCUUGUAAAGGACCCUUAAGGAAAGCACUCUUCACAUCCAUUUGAUGUAAUGUAAAACCAUUGAAAGCAGCAUAAGCAAGUAAGAUGUGGAUAGAUUCAAGACAGGCAACGGGGGCAAAGGUCUCACCAAAGUCCAAACCUUCAACUUGUGAGUACCCUUGUGCCACUAACCUUGCCUUGUUACGGAUGAUUACACCAUUCUCAUCUUGCUUGUUCUUGAAAAUCCAUUUUGUUCCAAUGACAUUGUGCUCCAUAGUUGGCCUCUCGACUAAUGACUACACUUGGUUGCGUUCAAAACUGUUCAACUCUUCUUGCAUAGCAAUGAGCCAAUCAUUGUCCAUCAAUGCAUCUUGUACCUUGAGAGGCUCAACACUAGACACAAAUGAGAAGUGAGCACAAAAGUUUGUCAAAUGUUUACGAGUGACUCUACAUUCUGAUAUGCCAGUGAGAAUUUUGUCAAUAUCAACACGACCGGCCACUCGAGGCAUGAUGGAGGUUUGGGUUUCGCGAGGUUCAACUUCAUGUCCAUCAUCCACGUCCUCAACAUAUGGAUCAUUAAUGUGUGGUGGAAGAUCUUCUUCACAUUGCAUUUGUUGAGGUUCAUUAUCAAUGAUUGCACUUUCUUGUUCUUGCCCUUGAUGUUGAUCUUGUUCUUGAAGAUUAUCAUGAAGAGGAACUUGAUCAUCUUCUUGUACUUGGACUAAGGGCAUUGGUUGAGCACUAGGGGCUUGUGGUGGUAUGGGUGUUGAAGUAGUUUGAUGAUGGGUGAAGCUUCCAUCUUCUUCAUCAUCAUCAUGAGGUUCUUGUUCGAUUUGAAGAAGUGCACCAACACCCAUGGUCAAAAUAUCUUGAGAAGAAUAUUCUUCACCUACAUCACUUAGAUCAACUUGAUCCCCAUGGGAGCCAUUAAAUUCAUCAAACACCACGUCACAAGUUUCUACAACACAUCCAUUGGAUUUGUUGUAGACUCUAUAGGCAUGAGAGUUUGAUCCAUAGCCAACAAAUAUGCCCUCAAUGGUUUUGGAUUGAAAUUUUCCUAAACGUUCUCUUUUGUUGAGGAUGACGCAUUUGCACCCAAAUACACGAAAGUACUUGACAUUUGGUUUGUUCCCAGUUAGGAGCUCAUAUGGAGUCUUUUCCAAUAUUGUGCGGAGGAAGACCUGGUUUGAUGCAUGGCAUGCGGUGUUGACAGCCUCGGCCCAAAAACUAUGUGGCGACUUGUAUUCAUCCAACAUGGACCUUGCCAUCUCCACAAGUGUACGGUUCUUCCUUUCGGCUACACCAUUUUGUUUAGGAGUGUAUGGAGCUGAAUAUUGAUGUUCAAUCCCUUCAUCACUAAGAAAUUCUCCCAAUGUGUAGUUCUUGAACUCAGAGCCAUUAUCACUUCUUAUUGCCAAGAUUUCUUUAUCAAACUUGCGUUGUGCUUGCUUGGCGAAAUCAAUGAAGAUGAUCUUCGUCUCGUCCUUGGUCUUGAGGAAGAACACCCAUGUAUAUCUUGAGUAAUCAUCAACAAUGACAAGCCCAUACUUUUUCCCACCAAGACUAUCCCAUGAAGGAGGCCCAAAAAGAUCCACAUGAAGGAACUCCAAAGGCCUUGAAGUAGACACAAUAUUCUUGGGUGGGUGCUUUGAUUGAUGUUGCUUCCUGGCUAUGCAUGCACUUGUAAGUGCAUCUAGUGCCCCUUAGUGAUUUUGGUGUAUUGAAGACUUAUAGGUUAAGGGACUAAUGCGUUUGUGAGUGUACACAAGUCUAUAAGUCUAUGAGGAGCUUGAUAUUUACAGAGAAAGUCGACCCCUAAAAAUGAAGUUCUUCGACUGAAGACUUUGGAUCACUGAAGACUUUUUGAAGACUUUGAAAGUGAAGAAAUUGGUGUGACCUUGAAGACUUGGUAUUCGUUUGAGGAACAUGAAGCGUGAAGACUUUUGUUUUCGUAGUUUCAUUUUCUCUUUUUGAGUCAUAGGAAACACCAUACUGUUAAAGGGGGUCGAGGAAAUACUAAGGAAAAAUUUCCAAGUGAUGCUCAACUCAAAAUCCUACACCUACCAAUCCCUUCGAGUGAAGCCAUUGGAAAUCUCAUACAGUCCAGUCAUUUUCUUCAGUGACAAAGACGAAUUUCUUCUGGUCUUUGAGGAAUUUGUCCUGACCGAGGAGUUAGGAAUUCGCCAGUGCGGAUUGCCUACACAGUGAGGAACAUGAUAGCCCUGAGGAUUUUGCUACUCAAAAUUCCGACCGUUGCUGUGCUAUGCGCCAGCUGUCCCAAAGUAUCUAUCCACCUAACGGUCAUAUCAUUGAAGGGCAUUUACGUCUUAUCAUGUCGGGUUACUCCCUAGGCUAUAAAUAGCCACCCCUACAACCACUAGUUGGUUGGCUGCUCCAAGAGAAACUGACACUUGUCAUUUGAGAGCAACCCAUCCUCUGAGGACUUUGAGCGAAAAUCAUCAAGUGAGGAAAAACCCAAAACCCAAACACCUACAAACCCCAAGUGAUUGAGCAUCACCGAAGAGAUUGAUCCUGCGUGGAUCCGAUGCUUGUUACCUUUGAAGAUUGUGCUUCUUCCAGACGGUUAGGUGUCAUGGUCUAGAGCAUCCAAGAGGAAUUGUGGAUCGCCGAGUGACCAAGUUUGUGAAGGUUCGGAAGUCACCUGAAGACUUACCACGAGUGAUUGGACGAGGUCUGUGUGAUCUUAGUUCAAGGAGAAUACGGUGAGGACUGGGUGUCCUGAGCUGCGUGUUCAGGACUGGGUGUCCGGGACUGUGUGUCCUCGAGUUUAAAUACUCAGCCGCUCCAACCAGACGUACAACUGAGACAACAGUUGGAACUGGUCUACCAAAUCAUUGUCUUCACCAAGCUUACUGGUUCUAUUUCCUCAACUCUUUCAUUUCCUCAUAACUGUGUUGUGUGCUUGUUCAUAUCUGUGUUUGAAGACUUUGACUGAAGACUUUCUCAAUUUCCUCAGUUCAAUUUCUUCAGUCUGUUUGUCUUCAUCCUGUGUUAUCCUGUGCUUACGCUUUCUGUACUCUGUGCCUAUCUUCAUUUCAUCAUGAUGACUAUGCUUGUAUUCUGUUAUGUUUACUGUUGAGUACUUAUUCCGCUGCUAGUAGUUCUUCGCUAAGGAAUUUCCUCACCGGCAAAUUCCUCAGUGAACAAUUUCAUGAAAAUCGCCUAUUCACCCCCCUCUAGUCGAUAUAACGCACUUUCAAUUGGUAUCAGAGCAAGGUACUCCCUUGUUCUAUGUGAUUUUGGUUUAACCGCCUGGAGUUUUAGUUAUGUCGACCGCAGGUAUGAUCAAGGUUUCUGCUGGGUGUCCUACCUUCGAUGGGACGGACUACCCCUACUGGAAGAAUAAGAUGCGAAUGCAUCUUGAAGCAAUUGAUAAUGAUCUCUGGUAUGUUGUGGAAAAUGGUGUUCCCUCAGUCACACCUUCUCUGAAUGCUGCUGAUGUGAAGAGAUUCAAGCAACUCGACUCUCAAGUGAAGAAUAUCAUAUGUGGCCAUCUGAGCAAAGGACAGUAUGGCCGAGUGAGUGCUUUGGAAACAGCGAAGCUUAUCUGGGACAUGUUGUCCAAAGUGAAUGAAGGAGUCUCAACUCAGCGUGACUCUUGAGUUGAUGUUCUUCGCAAUCUCUUCAACCGCUUCAAAAGACUCGACAAUGAAAAUGUUCAACAAACCUUCGAUCGCCUCACUGACAUCUCAAAUGAGCUUCAAGCACUUGGUGCCACUGACAUCACCGACCAUGAGGUGGUGAGGAAAUUGCUGAGAUCGCUUGAUUCCUCAUUUGACACUCUGGCAUUGAUGAUACAAGAACAUGCUGAUUACAAGUCACUUGAUCCCACUGAUAUUCUCGAGAGGCUAAAUACUCAUGAGUUCCAACUUGCUGAAAAAAGAGAUCUCUAUGGUACUAGCUAUGGCAGAUCACGUGCACUGAAGGCCAAGGCAGUAUCUGAAUCCGAAGAUGAAGACUCUGGUAGCAGCCUUGGUGAUCCUGAAGAACUAACCCAUGAUCUAGCACUGCUCGUGAAGAAGUUCCAAAAGUUCUCAAGACGUGGUCGCCUUGGAAGAUCCUCAAGGAGCAAUGAUUCCUCAUCCAGUGACUACAAGAAGAGGCUCUGUCACAAAUGCAAGAAACCUGGACAUUUCAUUCAAGAGUGUCCUUAGUGGGAAAAGGAAUCAAAGAAGAAGAAAUACAAGGAUUAAAGUUCUGAUGAUGUGAAGAAAAAGAAGAAAUCCACAAAAUCUUCAUCAUCAAAAUCCUCAAAGUCUUCAUACCACAAGAAGAGAAGCUCCAAGAAGGCUAGGGCAUUCAUUGGCAAGGAAAUGAACUCUGAGGCUGAAUCUGAAGAGAAUGAGGAAGAGGAGACAUCUGAGGAGUCCGAAUCCGGAGUGGCGAGCCUAGCUCUCGCUACUGCGUUCAUCAGCAAGUCUAUCUUCAACACCGAAGAAAAUGACCUCACCAACAAUGCUGAUGAAAGCGAUGAUGACUACACUCCCACCUAUUGCUUCAUGGCAAAGGGUGCCAAGGAUGAUCAACCCAAAGCCACUGAGUGGGUCCUCGAUAGUGGAUGUACAAACCACAUGACUGGUGACAAGAAUCUAUUGAUGAAUGCUCCAUUAUCUCUGUCGCAUCUGAAGCAUAUCAUCUUUGCUGACAAAGGAAAAAGUCAGGUAUUGGGUCUAGGUAAGGUUGCGAUCACAAAGGAUCGACACAUGGACAAAGUCAUUGUCGGUGUCAAAACCGGCAGAUCUCGGGUAGGGGGUCCCGAACUGUGCGUUUAGGAUGGAUGGUAACAUGAGGCAAGGGACACGAUGUUUACCCAGGUUCGGGCCCUCUUGAUGGAGGUAAUACCCUACGUCCUGCUUGAUUAAUAUUGAUGAUAUGGGUAGUACAAGAGUAGAUCUACCACAAGAUCGGAGAGGCUAAACCCUAGAAGCUAGCCUAUGUUAUGAUUGUUGUAUAUUGUCUAUCGACUAGCCUGGCCUCGGUUUAUAUAUUGCACCAGAGGCCUAGGAUAACAAGAGUCCUAGCCGAAUACGCCGGUGGGGAGGAGUCCUUGUCUUGAUCGCCAAGUCUUGUGGAAUCUUCCUUGUAUGCAACAGCUAUCCGAACUGGCCCAUGAGUAUACGGCCAUGGGGGUCCUCGGCCCAAUCUAACAGAUCGGGAGAUGACGUGGUGAGUACCCCCCUAGUCUAGGACACCGUCAGUAGCCCCCUGAACCGGUCUUCAAGUUAGGGACGCUCCUCGAUUCUUCCGAACUGUUCUUCAUCUUUGGUCGCCGGUCUUGAAAACUGGUUCAACAAAUCUUCUCAUCUUCUAUCUUGAGGAUCGCCGAAAUGCAUUCGUCGAGUUUACACGUCGGGUAUCCGAGGAGCCCCUUUAAGUUUCCGGCCUUUAUCAAUGCCUUUUUAUUUUUAUGCCACACCUCGGGUUUAAAGUUGUUCCCGGGAGGAAGUGUCCUCUUGCGUCCGAGCUCCAAUGCCGGACUACAUUUGAGGUAUCUUUUGCAGCCGAACGCCAACGCCGGACCGCUUCCCAGCUCUAACACCGGAAUGUAUCCGAGCUGCAACGCCGGACUGUAUCCAAGCUCCAAUGCCGGACUAUGUAUCCGUGCUCCAACGCCGGACUGUAUCCGAGGUGUCGUAAAUCACCUUGGUUCAAAGAAGUUUGAAGGAGUUUAGCCGAGCUUAAUGCCGGAAAUGCCCUCUAUGGAACCAGCCACUAGCGCGCGAGCUUUAUGCUGGACUGCUUCCGAGGUGGUGCACCACCCCGAAUGUGGGCCGAUUUUUGUCAAUAUUUUUGAUUGGUGCAAUUUUAUUCUCUGUCGAGAUAUAUAGCCAGUAGCCCUCAAGGUGGGUAUCGGUCUAAAACCAGAGAUGCACAUGAAGGAUGACAUAAGACCACUGAUCCCAGUAGCCGCUGAGACUCAGGUUGAUUUGCAAAAUCGGUCUGAGGAUCAAGUCCUAGCUCGGCAGAAUACUUUGGGACACAAAAAACGGCGUGCUCAGUCCUCGAGACUCAGGUUGGGUGCGGCCGACCAACCUGAGGAUCAAAAUCUCCUCGGAAACUGUAUUACACUUAAUUUUUUUUGCAUUGGACAAGCAAUGCAGUAGCCCCCGAGACACUGGUCGGGUGGCAACACCAGAUCAGGGGAUCGAUGUGCCCCUUUAAUAUUUGUAAAUAAUAAGCACGAAGCCCAGUAGCCCCCGAGCCUUAAUGCGGGCACGGGUGGCCGAAUUAAGGAUCGAUAUCCAUAGUAAAAUCACAAAUUAUGUGUAAUGACUCUAUGUAUCCAAGUACUUUACGUCAUUAAUGCUCGGAUCUGCAUUGUACAAAACUUUGUUGACCGACCAUCGACUUCCACCUCCUCGGCCAGUAGCCGAGGAGUGUUUGUCCUACUUUAUAAAGCCUUUAUGAGGGCAAAGAUUUACGACAAACAAGGCAAACUGGCCAUACGGUUUUAUAAACAAAGGUACGCAGAGAGAUAUGUUAUAUUACUGUUUAACAGAAGAAAUGUCUUCCAAAGAAAAUAAUCCCGCUAUGGGUUCCUUUCUAUGGGUUCCUUUCUUUGGGUUGUCAUGCUAAGCAUGAUCAUGAAACCUCAGCUCGAAUGUAAGAGCAAAAUAUCGAGGAUUUAGUUUGGGACGCCAGUUAAUAGCCCCUGGUAGUGUUCGGCGAUAGUCGAGGUCAAGCCGUAAACACUUCGUCCAUUAUUAGGAAUGGCCCGUCAUUUAACACCGUCAUCGGAUCGCUGACCAAUUUACGCUUAUUGUGACAGUCAGUUUUCGGCUUUCUCCACUGAGGUGCUUAACCAUGUGAGUUGGAAGCAGAAUCGCAGUGGUUCUCCCUUUGCACACCUAGCCGAACAAAGCAGAAUGUAGGAGGCAAGCGCAGGAGCUGGGCAACCCAACUAUUGACCGAAGACACAAUUCGAAACCGAUGCAUAUAUAGCAAUAUUCGAGAAUGUUUUUGCCGAAUCUCUAAAGGUGUUCGGCGUUGCACUGCGAGACUUGUGCUGAAAACACACAAAUAGUUUAAAAGUGCCACAAUCUUGGAAAACCAAAAAACGUCAGUAAAAACUUGACGUCCGAACAAGAUCAAGUGUUCGAUGCCAAUCUGAAAAUUGGCCUUAGAAAAAAAGUGCUCCCGUCGUGCUUUAACAUGACACAUCCUAUCUCAAGACUUCAAGCGGGUCAGCCUACGGCUUCAACCUCCUAUCCCGAAGGCGGAGUACUUCUCGUUAGGCCAACUUAGCAAACUAAACUCUAGCGGCUUUGAGAGAGAAAUUAGGCUCCCCGGCUAGUGACCACACACUCGUGUUGAAAAAAGGAGUGAUAAAUAAUAAUAGUAAUAAUAAUAAUAAAACUUUGCAACGACUAAGAAGAAGAACACUUAUUAUAAAACGGCUCAAAUAAACUUAAGAGCCCCCAAGUGACUUGAGUAAAAGAAUGAUUGCAUGUACCGAAGUACUUAUAUCAUAUCUAUGUUCAAUCGAACUUUAAACGUGUCUUAACCGACCGUCGGCUUCUCCCUCUUCAGUCAAGGACCGAAAAGUGUUAUGUACUCCAUCUGUCGAGAAUAUUGACGGUGUUUCCAAUAACCAGGCAAUCAGGACAUAGGGCUGUAACAGACAAAGCGCACUCAGGGAACUUAUGCUAUAUUACUGCAAAGUGUAAGAAGCAUCUUUGAAGAAAAUAGUACCCCCACCGAUACCUUUCUUCGGUGCUCAUUGUUAUUAUGAGACUUGUGCAAUAGAUUUUUUGUACUCAUGAGUUCCAUUGUGUGCCGACCAUCAUUGAAAACAAUAAGAGCGCUAGCUUUUGGCUUCACCCAGUCUGAGGUCCGGCUCGGGUGACCCGAUCGUGACAAUCGCAGAGGUGCUCCCUUUACUCCCUAGCCGAACAAUCGGGAACAUAGGGGUAAACACAGGAGCGAGGCAACCCAGCUUGCAAAUCGCUUAAGUCAAUAUGGUGCAUAUUGUGGCGUAAUACAUGAACAAGGAACGAAGCCGUACAAGUAUAAUCAUAUGCAAGAGGAAAAGCUUCAUAAAGGAAGCCCCCAAGUAAACGGGGUAUUUGAAUUUAUGCGUCACAAACAAAGUUUGGACAAGGAAAUUUUUUACAAGCAACUUUUUUCCAAAAAAGUAUAAUGCUUGGUCGAACCGAACACAAGUUAGAAAUUAAAGGUUUGAGCAUGAAAGCGACUUAGCUGGUUAAUGUGUUCGGUAUUGAUGACGCGGUCCGAGCUUGAUGCAGGGCAAGGUUCCAUCCCCCAAGCCGGUCCCGAGGUGGCGGAGCGGAGAGCUCGACACGCCGAAGUGGUGACAUAGCACGGUCAAUGCAGAUCGGUAGAGUGACGCCGAAGUCCCCGGAUCAUUUUCCUGUGCACAAAAAAUAGUGCAAACCGGAGAUAAUAGUAAUAAUGAUAAUUAAAAAAAAUUGUUGCAUAAUAAAUAAUUUAUGCAAAGUGAGUAAUAGAAGAAAUAUGGCCUGGCGCCAAAGUCAAUGUCGAUGCAGGGCGUCGGCGUGAUGCGGUAAAGGCGUGGCAAAGCCUGAAUUCACAGGGUGGUCCGAGUUCCGGAUGCGGCGUUCGCCGGACUAUGUACGGAAACUGACCGAACCACCACGCGACCGUCGUUAAUGCGGCCAUCAUUUGAUAGACCUGUGUACAGAUGAUGGACAAAUCAGAGUAAUAAUUCCUUGGGAAAAAUAAACCCAAACAAGCAAAAAAAUACUAGGAUUAAUAGCACCUGGUUUAUUUGUUGUAGCAAUCCGAAGAAAAGCGAUUCCCAAAAUCGGGAAUCGAUCCGCACACCAUUGCCUGAUGGGUGAUAAAGCGAUGGCCUGGCGAUGCUAGGAAAUGUUGGCUCGCCGAGGAAAAGCCCGUGGUCCAGCUAAUGCGAUGAAGCUGGUUCGCUGGUGACGCCGAAGUCUCCGAAGUAAGUUGAUGAAGAGAUGGUCUAGCCGAGGAGACGGAGCAGGUCGGUAAGGAGACGUUGCAGCUGCCGUGUCAGCCGAGGUGUUGAAGCAGUUCGGCGUGAUGAACAUCAGCUUGAAGAAGCAACAUUGCGGCCAUGCCGACGCAGGUCGUAACUUGUGACGCGGACAAUGCUGGUUUGAUAAAGUGACCAUGCGGUGAUGCCUGUGUUCCCACUCCGUGUAAUCCAUGGGGCGGCGAUGUUGGUGAUGAUUUAUCCUUUGCGAUGCCGAACUCUUGUUCGGCUUGCCGAGAUGAUGAUCGAAGGAAUUGAGCUCGGCUCAAUAAAGCGGCGACGUGUCUAGCGCAGGCCGGCAGCCAUGGAGCAAUACCGCCGGACUGGUUUGACACCAGCGUGAUGGUGAAGAUUACCUCGAAGGAGGCUUAAACUUUUAUGGGUACAUGUUUAAAAACAACGCACAAUACCAUAGAAGAAAAUUCCUUAAAAAAGGUUGUUCAAUAUCACGUUUAUAAAGAAACAUGAAUUCGGGUCGGAUCCGUAUUCGCGCAGAAAACAGAUCCGAAAAUUGGUCCACUCAUCGGAAGUUUCCCGGAGUUUGAACCGUUGGAUCGAGCUGAAAUUUGGAGGGAUGGUAGAUAUGGGAUCUCCGCAGUAGAUGAACGGUUGGAUCUUCCAAAGGCCCUCCGAGAUGGGCUCUGGAGACCAUGCCCUAAACUCGUCCAGAUUUCUGUCCAGAUUUGACAGGGCUCCGGUAUAUCGUAGAUUUUCGGAGAUUCCUUCAUCGGAACUCGAUGAAAUUUUUGAGGGUUGUUGUAGACUCAAUUCCGCACAAUUCAACCAAAGGGAUCGUCAAAGCGAUGCUCUAAGAGGUGGUGGCAGCAGAUACAAGUUUGCUGUUCGGAAAAACAGCACAGUUGCCCGAGGGCAAUGUUGACGUUGAGCCCCCGAGCUCCAUGGAUGAUUCCUCCAUGAUCUUGAUAGAGAUUGGAGUUAAUGUUGAUGAAGGCCCUCGUCCGAACAUGACGAUUGGAGAUGGAGCACGGUCCUCGGUCGAGCCGACGACGAAGAUGUCAGCAUCGCAGUUGACCUGCAGACGAGCCAUCGAUCCUUUUGCCGAUCACACAGCGGAACUCUCAAUGAAAGCACCAAUGUCGGUGUCAAAACCGGCGGAUCUCGGGUAGGGGGUCCCGAACUGUGUGUCUAGGAUAGAUGGUAACAGGAGGCAGGGGACACGAUGUUUACCCAGGUUCGGGUCCUCUUGAUGGAGGUAAUACCCUAUGUCCUACUUGAUUAAUAUUGAUGAUAUGGGUAGUACAAGAGUAGAUCUACCACGAGAUCGGAGAGGCUAAACCCUAGAAACUAGCCUAUGUUAUGAUUGUUGUAUAUUGUCUAUCGACUAGCCUGGCCUCGGUUUAUAUAAUGCACCAGAGGCCUAGGAUAACAAGAGUCCUAGCCGAAUAUGCCGGUGGGGAGGAGUCCUUGUCUUGAUCGCCAAGUCUUGUGGAAUCUUCCUUGUAUGCGGCAGCUGUCCGAACUGGCCCAUGAGUAUACGGCCAUGGGGGUCCUCGGCCCAAUCUAACAGAUCGGGAGAUGACGUGGUGAGUACCCCCUAGUCCAGGACACCGUCAGUCAUGCUUGUUGAGUCCUUAGGAUACAACCUUAUGUCUGUCUCAAUGCUUUGUGAUCUUGAUAUGGUUGUUGUCUUUGGAAAGUACCGUUGUGUUGUGGUUAUGGAAGCUGACAAUUCCAAAGUCUUCGAAGGCUUUAGGAGAGGAGACCUGUAUAUUGUUGAUUUCUCUACAGGACCACAACCAACCAUGUGCUUACUUGCAAAAGCUUCAGAAGGCUGGCUCUGGCAUCGACGACUUGGUCAUGCAGGCAUGAGGAAUUUGCACACGCUUGCGAAGAAGAAGCAUGCCAUUGGCAUCGAAAAUGUCAAAUUCCUCAGGGAUCACCUAUGCGGAGCCUGUGAAGCUGGGAAGAUGACGAAGGCCAAGCAUCCAGCGAAGACUAUCAUGACCACCACUCGCCCAUUUGAAUUGCUUCACAUGGAUCUCUUUGGUCCUAAUCAUUAUUCUGCUAUUUCAAAUGAAGCAUCUCAAUAUGGCUUUGUUAUUGUUGAUGAUUAUUCUCGCUACACAUGGGUACACCUUGUUACUUACAAACAUGAAGUGCAGGAAGUCUUCAAACGAUUUUCCUCAAGGGCUUCAACCAACUUUGGUGUGAAGAUCAAGCACAUCAGAAGUGACAAUGGCACUGAGUUUAAGAAUUUUGGUCUCGAUGACUAUCUUGAUGAACUUAGUAUUACUCAUGAGUUAUCUGCUCCUUAUACUCCUCAGCAGAACAGCGUCGUGGAGCGUAAGAACAGGACUCUUACUGAGAUGGCUUGCACUAUGCUUGAUGAAUACAAAACGCCUUGUCGGUUCUAGACUGAGGCAAUUGAUACUGCGUGCCACAUCAUCAAUAGAGUAUAUCUUCACAAAUUCUUCAAGAAAACCGCCUAUGAACUCCUCACUGAUAAGAAACCCAAUGUAAGUUAUUUCAAAGUCUUCGGUGCUAAAUGUUGGAUUAGAGAUCCUCAUCACAACUCAAAAUUUGCACCGAAAACACAUGAAGGUUUUAUGCUUGGUUACGGAAAGGACUCGCACACCUACAGAGUCUUCAACAACGUUCUUCACAAGGUUGUUGAAACUGUAGAUGUGCGGUUUGAUGAAACUAAUGGCUCGCAAAGAGAGCACCUACCUACUGUGGUAGAUGAACCAGCACCUGAGGAAACUAUCAAGUUCAAGGCUACUGAGGAUGUCAUUCCCACUGAAGAAUCUGCUGAAGAAUUCAUUCCGGAACAUGAAGAACGUCGAGCUAAUGCACCUGAAGAAAAUGCUGAAGAAAAUGGUGCUGAAGAAAAUGCUGAUCAAAUUCUUUAACGGCAACCAGCUCAUCCUCGCAUUGCAAAAGAAGUGCAAGUUGAAAAGAUCAUCAAUGACAUCAAAGCGCUAGGUCCUCUCACACGCUCAAAAGCUUCACAUUUGUCUAACUUUUGUGGGCACUAUGCUUUUGUCUCUAUUACAGAGCCCACUAAGGUAGAUGAAGCAUUUCUGGAGCCUGAGUGGAUUCAGGCCAUGCAAUAAGAAUUACAUCAGUUCGAGCUCAACAAUGUCUGGGAACUGGUCAAACGUCCAGAUCCUCGCAAGCACAAUAUCAUCGGCACAAAGUGGAUCUACCGCAACAAGCAAGAUGAAAAUGGCCUUGUGGUGAGGAAUAAGGCACGACUUGUAGCUCAAGGCUACACACAGGUUGAAGGAAUUGAUUUCGAUGAAACUUUUGCACCUGUUGCUAGACUUGAGGCUAUUCGCAUAUUACUUGCUUAUGCUAACCAUCAUGAUAUCACUUUAUAUCAAAUGGAUGUGAAAAGUGCAUUCCUCAAUGGUAAGCUUGAGGAAGAAGUAUGUGUUGCUCAACCCCCAGGUUUUGAAGAUCCAAAGAAUCCUGACAAAGUCUUCAGACUCAACAAGGCCCUCUAUGGCCUCAAGCAGGCCCCACGGGCGUGGUAUGAUACUUUGAAGGAAUUCCUCACGACGAAAGGCUUCAAACCCGGUUCACUCGACCCUACUCUUUUCACUAAAUCUUAUGAUGGUGAAUUGUUUGUGUGCCAAAUAUAUGUUGAUGAUAUUAUCUUUGGCUGUACUGACCAAUGUUAUAGUGAUGAAUUUGCCUAUAUGAUGAGUGAAUAAUACCAAAUGUCUAUGAUGGGAGAGUUGAAAUUCUUCUUAGGUCUUCAAAUUCGUCAACAACGCAAUGGCAUAUUCAUAUCUCAGGAGAAAUACCUCAAGGAUGUACUGAGGAAAUUUGGCAUGCAAGAUUUCAAAGGCGUCAAAAUUCCUAUGCCCACAAAUGGCCAUCUGUGCACUGAUGAAAAUGGUAUUGACUUCGAUCAUAAGGUAUACAGCUCCAUGAUUGGUUCUUUAUUGUACUUAUGUGCAUCUAGGCCAGAUAUAAUGCUUAGUAUUUGGAUGUGUGCCCGAUUUCAAGCUACACCGAAGGAAUCACACCAUAAGGCUGUGAAGCAUAUUCUUCGAUAUCUAGCUCACACACCAACACUUGGAUUAUGGUACCCCAAGGGCUCGGAUUUUGAUCUCAUUGGAUAUUCUGACUCUGACUAUGCUGGUGAUCGUGUGGACUGCAAGUCAACAUCUGGUACAUGCCAUUUCCUCGGACGAUCUUUGGUCUGUUGGUUCUCGAAGAAACAGAACUGCGUAUCACUAUCUACUGCUGAAGCUGAGUACAUUGCCGCUGGUUCUUGCUGUGCCCGAUUGCUAUGGAUGAAGCAAACUCUCCAGGACUACGGUGUCAAGAUGAAGAAUGUGCCUCUCUUCUGUGACAAUGAGAGUGCCAUCAAGAUUGCUCACAACCCAGUUCAGCACUCGAAGACAAAGCACAUUCAGAUUCGUCAUCAUUUUCUUCGUGAUCAUGUGUUGAAGGGCGACAUUUCUAUUGAGCAUGUGAAGACUGAAGAACAGCUAGCCGAUAUCUUCACAAAGACCUUGGAUGAGAAGAGAUUUAGCAAGUUGCGGUGUGAGCUAAAUAUCCUAGAAUCUUUGAAUGUUCUUUGAAAAGGACACUCAUCCUAACACUUAUGCAAAUUUGAUGACUUAGAUGUGCAACACAUGAAGAAACGUUUUUCUUCAAUUCAAUGAAGAAUAACACUCUUAGUGUGAAGAAAUUAACGAAUAAUUUGAUUCUCAGAACCCUACGAUAAUUGUACGCGGUGUCUGAAAUCAUCAUUCUUAUACGGUGGGUCACGCUAUGACCAAAAGUUGAAAUUCCUCAAUUAUUCAUAUUCUUCAACUUUGCAUUAUCUUCACUGCUUCCGUCGUUUUUCUUCAUUUGACUAUAUAUAUAAGUUUAUGUCCUCUACAGCAUUCACUUAUUGCUAAUUCUUCAAGUUGGUUCUUCUGCUAAGUGAAUGUGAUCGGACCCUUCCCUCUCUAUGCUAUACUCAACCCAAUCUAUUCACAAAUUCUUCAUGUGCAUUCUAUUUGAAACUCGUUCAAAAUCUUCACUGUGUCCUUGUCAGCUGAAGAAAUUGCGAACGGAACUUUAAAACCUAUCUUAUCGAAAUUUUCGGCUUUGCCACUCAAACCGUUCCGCAUCCCAUGUUAUACUUAUCCACUCACCCACGAUCGCACACGAUCUCCACCUCUCAGUACGUCGGUGACACAUGUCAAGCGCAUGAGAAGGGUCAGGGGCACGUUCGUCCAAUUUCUUCGGGCGAGCAGGUUUUCACCGUGGCUAUAAAUACCCCUCCGCCCCUUCCUCACUUCUUUUACUUCGCUCGACCUCUCUCUCCAGUUCGAGCUUCUCAAACCCUAGCACCGCCGCUACUUCAUCGCCGCCGGUGAGGAAGAGCUUCACUGCCUCGACCUCGUCACCGACGUACUCGCGCCGACAGCGGAAAUCUUCACUCCGCCGCCACCAUAGCCGUCUUCCUCCACCAAGUUAGGGCGUGGAAGAUCUGCACAGACGAACUUCACAUCUCCUUACUCCAGUUCGUCGUGUUCUUCGUCCAGGGUAAUUAAAAGUUACUUUUACUACCCUCGUUGAUUUGAAUGAUUAUCUUCAAAAUCUUCAAAGGUGUUUUUUUCAUAGUUUCACACACUAAACACCUCACAAGUCAUUUGUUCUUGAUUCGUUUCUCUAAGCAUCAUUUUUCUUCAAGAUUCCUCAAUUGUGCGGAUCUUCGAUCUAUACAACUCUGGAACCUAAGACAAAGAACGCUUAGGGAAAUUCUUCAAGACUCAUCUGGUCAAAUUCCUCAAACUUGUUCCUUUGAAAAACCCUCUGAGAACGCAUAUGACCUCUCCAAAUUCCUCGCAACUAUACUAUGUUCACAGGUACACAUGUCAGCUGCUGAAUCACUAGGUUCUCAUCAACUUAACUCAUUUGCAGCGUUCCUCGAAGAAAAGUUGCAUACUUCUUCAGAGAAUUCAAUUGUUCAAAUUCCUCAACUGAAGAAAAUGGCUGAUGGUAAGAAGCCACAGAAGGGAGGAAAGAGGCCUGAGGUAAAUACAACGUUUGAGAUCCCUGAUGAAAUAUAUGCUGGGUACUGCACACCUACUGAGGAAACCAAGAAUGAGCGCAAAGUGCGCAUUCAGAAGAUAGAGAGGAGAUGGGAAAGAGAAUGGAGGGAGUACAAAUAUGUCACUCCUAAGUAUAUGAAGAAAUUCGCACUCAAUCCUCCAUGCCCAAGAGCUCCAUUGGCACCUGGCCAAAUCGCUGAUCCCACCAGCCUCAAGCGUGGUGAGGACUAUCCUGAUGAAUGGGCCAAGCGCCAAGCCAAGUUGGCUAAGCAAGCCAAAGAAGCAGUGAGGAAAUUCAAUGAAGACUCUGCUGCUGCUGCUGCCUCUGCUGAGGCCUUUGCUGUCAAGCCAAAGAAGGCUAUGUCAAAGAAGCCCGCACGCAAGCCAAGUGCUUCACCAACAAUGCCCUCAAGGCCAAGUUCCUCAGCAAUGCCUUCACGGCCAGAAUCCUCAAAGCCCUCACGGCCAAUUCCUCAUGCUGCUCCUGUUCCUCCAAAGUCCUCAGCUCCUCCGCCUAAGCCCUCAGCUAUUCCGACUAAAUCCUCAGCACCUGUGCAUCUCGCCUCGUGCCAAAGGACUGCAGACAUCUCCAUUGCCUCAGGUGUCUCAGCUAGUUCCUUAGUUGCACCAAGUUCCUCAGCUGGCCCCUCACUACUGAAGACAAAGGCCACUGCUGGACGAGGUCCUCGCCCAAGUCCUCAGAAGAAACAAGUCGUUUUCCAAGUGCCGUCUGAAGAAGACGAAGCUGAUGAUGAUGAACUCGCAGAAAUCAUCAGAGACAGGCAAGUCAGGGUCGCUAGAGCCAAAGGAUCAGAGGUGCCACUGCUUUUGGAUCCCAAGUUGAUCCUCGACUACAUUGAUGACUGGCACAAGGACCCCAACACUCCCAGGCCUGACUUCAAGCUGACUCCUGGCCAAAGUCACAUGCUGACCCACUUCAUUCAAGAAGAAAAGUGGAAAUUUGAGAAGGCCAGGCAGAUCAAGAAAGCGCAGUACAAGAAAGAGCGCUAUCCGAAGAAAAACGUUGUCUCUAUGACAACUGAAGAACUUGUCACUAUUCAGACUGAGAUCAAGAAACUCAGUGAUGACUUUGACGCAUAUCGCGCUGAUUGGCUUGGAGCCAAGGUUCAUUUUUUGAAACUUGCGGAUAACUUCACUUCCAAUGUUGCAGCCCCAACGCAACAGGAAAUUCCUCAGGCUGAAGCAUCUGCUCAGCCUACUGAAGAAAAUGCCAACACCACUAAUGACAAUCAGGCUGCUGAAGAAAAUGUGAGUUCCAAGGCUGAUGACUGCAUUCCAACCACUGAAGAAAUUGCCAGGGCACCCACUAGUGGUGUGCCUGAAGAAACUGAAGAACUCAGGGCAACUGCAUCAGUUGUGCCUGAAGAACAUCAACCAGAUUCCUCAGCUGCUCCUGCACCAACUUCAACUCCAAUCCUUCCAUCUGCAUCAGAUGUGAAGAAGACCAAGGCUGCAGAGCGUGCUGCAGCGAAGAAAAGGAAAGCAUCAGUUGCUUCAGAUUCUUCAGCUCCGAAGAAAAUGAAGCCUAUGACAAGUUCAUUUGCAAAUCCGAUUGAUGUUGUUCCCAUCUCAACCAGGCCAUCAAAGGACCUUGUUCCUUUUGAUGAAGAAUAUGUGAUCCCCAGCGGAUCUGAUGAAGAAACUCCUUCUGCUGCUUCGUUUGAACCGUUGGAUGAAGAAAUUGAAGUGGAUGAGAUCCCUUCAACACCUAUCAUCUCCUCGCCCAUGCCUCAGUUCACAGCUGAAUAGGCUGGCGUUGAAGAAAUGGAAGAUGAAGAUGUGGACGUUGGCUGCUCCACACCCGUAAUCAGUGAUGAAUUCUGGGAAAGUCAGCAUCCAAACUCUCCAAUGUUCACCCCUCUAUAGCAAAUUCCUCAGUCCCCCACACAAACUGUACAAAUGGGCUCUGAAGAAACUCAUCCCACUACAUCUGUCCAUGAGGAAAUUCCAGCCACUAGCGCUGAAGAAACUGCUGCUGCUGAAGAACCAACGACGCAGACUGCCACUAAGGAGGAACCAGAAAUUCCUCAGCCUGAAGAACCUGCGAUUGAGAUUCCUGAGGUCGUGAUGCAACUCACUGACACUCCUCUGCCGAAGCCAAAGAAUCCAUUCUCACGCAAGAAAAAGUUCAAGGCUGAUGAUUUCUUCGGCGAGCAUGUAUUCUUCGAAGAUUACAACCCAUAUAACUCUGCUCGCAUUAGGAAGAGGCGUUUUUGGACUGCUAGUCAAGCAAAUUUCUAUUCCUGAGUGCUGUUCAACAAGGAGAAUAUCUUCUACCAUGAGCAUAUUCCUCACGUGGAUAUGGAAUCUCUGUCGUGCUUCGCACCAGUCCUCAGUGUUCUUCACGAUGCUGGACUGCUAAACUUUUACUCUAACAUCUACGAUUGGAAUGAAGAACUGAUUCUUCAAUGGGUGCUGGACUAGAUGUCUGAAAACACUCACUACACUGCACCAACCUCUGAAUUGCUUCGUGCUCUACCACUCAGUCCUCCCCUUGAAGAAGCUCGCUGCAUCUAUAGUGAACCUGAGCUCACACAUUAUUACAUGCAGGUGUUGAUGAAACCUUUGAAGCCAGGUCAAGCACCAAGAACCAAAUUCCUCGUGAAGGAAUUGCUGUACGUGCCCAGAACUGUCUAUCGUAUUCUUACGAGGACAGUCAGUCCUAUCAAAGGCCACGACUCAUCUGAUGAGGAAAUUGUUGGCAUCAUGAAGAAUCUGGUAUUCAACAUCGUUCAUGGCAUUCCUGUCAAUUAUAAUGAUUUCCUCAUGAGGACUAUGGCAAAUGUUGCAUUGUCUCUGUUUGAGCUGAAGCCUUAUGCACCUUGGAUUAUGAGAUUCCUCAGGACAAGGUCUUCACUCAACUACAAAGCUGAUUUCCAGAAUCACCUCAGCUACUUGCUCCCAAUUGAAGUCCUCAAGAUGACAUAUUCCUCAGUUGAUGGAAAGGGCAAGGCACCAGCUGUAACAGAUGAAGGCAUUCGUCCAUUGGAUGGUCAGUUUCACAAAGCUGCAUCUUAUUCCACCAAUGAUGACUCUGCCACACAUGACUCUGCCAAUGCACCCAAGUCCACUCCUCAAGCCAUUGCUCCGCGCGGGAUGACUGACCGUGAACUUGUGCUUAGUCUUCACCAGAAGGUGGAUCGAAAUCACAAAUGAGUUAAGCGUCAGUUUGGUUCACUUCUUCACAACAUGACUGCCACACACAAUGCAGUGAAGAAAAACCACUACUACCUCCAUCAAGUCUUCGGUCGCACCUGGGCAAUCCUGUCACAUCUGUAUGGUGAAGAAGAUCUGAAGAAAAUGGGUCUCAAAGAAGAUUUUGACUGGUCUGCACCUCCACCGAAGAAAUUCAAGAAGGUCAAGGUUCCUUCUCUGGUGGCCAGCUCAUAUUCUUCAUCGCGCGGCACUGAUGAAAAUGAAGACUUGGACGACACUGCGGCAGGCCCUACUACAACAAAUGACCCCAACAACGCUGGCGCUCCUUCAUCAACUUGAUAUUCUUCAGGGGCGUUAGUCCUCAUAUUUGAUCCUUUUGGUCAUUUGAGGACAAGGGGGGAGAAUUUUGAGUUAGUCUUCAAGCGAGUCUUUCUAUAUGGGCAUUUUUUGUUAAGUUACAACUCUCGUUCUUCUAAGACUUUAUUGGAUCGAGUUGUAAACUUAAACCCGAUGGUGCUCUAAUACUUUUGAUAUGAUUUUCUGCAUGCUUAUUCCUCAUAUAUGCUAAUGCACGCAUGCUGAAUUACAUCAGUCACCAUAUUUCAUCAUGCAUUUCAAAUUCUUCAUUGUGAUAUGUCAAAUGCGUGUAUGAAUUACAAGAUAUAGGGGGAGAUCUCCAUGAUUCAACUCUUCAAGUGUGCAUUGCUUCAAAAGCAAAUUCCUCACUAUGCACAUCUUCUGGGGGAGUUCUUCUAUAUCUUGCAAUCAAAUUCCUCAAUAUCAGUAGUUACACUUCGUAUGUUUAUCCCCGUUGAAAACUUAACCUAUAUUGUCAUCAAUCACCAAAAAGGGGGAGAUUGUAAGUGCAUCUAGUGCCCCUUAGUGAUUUUGGUGUAUUGAAGACUUAUAGGUUAAGGGACUAAUGCGUUUGUGAGUGUACACAGGUCUAUAAGUCUAUGAGGAGCUUGAUAUUUACAGAGAAAGUCGACCCCUAAAAAUGAAGUUCUUCGACUGAAGACUUUGGAUCACUGAAGACUUUCUGAAGACUUUGAAAGUGAAGAAAUUGGUGUGACCUUGAAGACUUGGUAUUCGUUUGAGGAACAUGAAGCGUGAAGACUUUUGUUUUCAUAGUUUCAUUUUCUCUUUUUGAGUCAUAGGAAACACCAUACUGUUAAAGGGGGUCGAGGAAAUACUAAGGAAAAAUUUCCAAGUGAUGCUCAACUCAAAAUCCUACACCUACCAAUCCCUUCGAGUGAAGCCAUUGGAAAUCUCAUACAGUCCAGUCAUUUUCUUUAGUGACAGAGAUGAAGUUCUUCUGGUCUUUGAGGAAUUUGUCCUGACCGAGGAGUUAGGAAUUCGCCAGUGCGGAUUGCCUACACAGUGAGGAACAUGAUAGCCCUGAGGAUUUUGCUACUCAAAAUUCCGACCGUUGCUGUGCUAUGCGCCAGCUGUCCCAAAGUAUCUAUCCACCUAACGGUCAUAUCAUUGAAGGGCAUUUAUGUCUUAUCAUGUCGGGCUACUCCCUAGGCUAUAAAUAGCCACCCCUACAACCACUAGUUGGUUGGCUGCUCCGAGAGAAACUGACACUUGUCAUUUGAGAGCAACCAAUCCUCUGAGGACUUUGAGCGAAAAUCAUCAAGUGAGGAAAAACCCAAAACCCGAACACCUACAAACCCCAAGUGAUUGAGCAUCACCGAAGAGAUUGAUCCUGCGUGGAUCCGACGCUUGUUACGUUUGAAGACUGUGCUUCUUCCAGACGGUUAGGCGUCAUGGUCUAGAGCAUCCAAGAGGAAUUGUGGAUCGCCGAGUGACCAAGUUUGUGAAGGUUCGGAAGUCACCUGAAGACUUACCACGAGUGAUUGGACGAGGUCUGUGUGACCUUAGUUCAAGGAGAAUACGGUGAGGACUGGGUGUCCUGAGCUGCGUGUUCAGGACUGGGUGUCCGGAACUGUGUGUCCUCGAGUUUAAAUACUCAGCCGCUCCAACCAGACGUACAACUGAGACAGCAGUUGGAACUGGUCUACCAAAUCAUUGUCUUCACUAAGCUUACUGGUUCUAUAUCCUCAACUCUUUCAUUUCCUCAUAACUGUGUUGUGUGCUUGUUCAUAUCUGUGUUUGAAGACUUUGACUGAAGACUUUCUCAAUUUCGUCAAUUCAAUUUCUUCAGUCUGUUUGUCUUCAUCCUGUGUUAUCCUGUGCUUACGCUUUCUGUACUCUGUGCCUGUCUUCAUUUCAUCAUGAUGACUAUGCUUGUAUUCUGUUAUGUUUACUGUUGAGUACUUAUUCCGCUGCUAGUAGUUCUUCGCUAAGGAAUUUCCUCACUGGCAAAUUCCUCAGUGAAGAAUUUCAUAAAAAUCGCCUAUUCACCCCCCUCUAGUCGAUAUAACACACUUUCAGCACUACACACACGAUCUUUCUCAAAAGAGACAUUAGUUAGUCCAAGGAUGUGAUUACCCUUUAAGAGAUAUUGAAGGUUUCUCAUGCCAACAUGGGCUAGCCGACGAUGACAAAGCCACCCCUUGUCGGCCUUGUCCAUUGGACAAGUUGCAUGGAAUGUGCUCUCUUUCGAGAAAUCAACUGUGUAAAGGCUGCCAUCCAACUCUCCAACAAAAGCCACUUCAAGAGUAUCUCUCUUAAAGACUUUCACAUCCGUUAGUCCAAAGAGUGUAUCAUAACCAACAGAAGCCAAUUGGCGAAUGGAAAGCAAAUGGUAUUUAAGGGAUUGGACAAGCAUGACAUUUGCAAGAGACAUGUCAUUUAUGAUAGCCACCUUGCCCAACUCGAGUACCUAUCCUUUUGAUCCUCCACCAAACAUAAUGCUCAUAAAUGGUUGAAUAGCUUCCAUGAAAUUGUAGAGCAAUUUGCUAUCUCCGGUCAUAUGAUUGGUACACCCACUAUCGAUCACCCAUUUUACUCCACCAGAGAAAGCAACCUACACACAAUUAUGACUUGGUUAGAGGCACCCAUUUUACAAUGGGACCUCUCAAGUUAGCCACAAGGGUCUUAGGUACCCAAAUAGCAUAAAACCGGAAUGCAUUUUGAGGACCAACAAACUUUGCAUAAACUUCUCCAUCCUUAGCUUUACGGAGUACAUAGGAUGGAGGCAUAAACUCUUUUGGCUUGUUGAUAGUGGGCAUGCCCCUUGUGGCCUUCCCACUAACAACCUUACCUUUCUCCUUGUGCCCUUCUCGUACACAUGUUUCUUUUAGAGGAGUGGUGCACUUUUGAGAAGACAACUUCUUCUUGCUUCUGCUUGGGUCAAAUCCGAGCCCCUCUUCGGCAAACACCUCAUUGUGUUGGCUCAAUACCUCAUUUAGGUUCUUUUGUCCUUGAGCACAUGUCAUGAGACCUUUCUCAAUUUGAGCCUUGAGAAAGCGAUUCUCCUCAAGAAUAGAUGCUAGGUCACUACUAGAGUUAGUAGUACAAGCAUCAACAUUAAUAAUAGGAGAAGAGUAAGCCUUGGCUAGAGUUUCAAGAUAAGUAAGCUUGAGCGUCUCAAAACUCUUUGUAAGAAGGGUGAGCUCUUCUUCCUUAGUCUUGAGAGACAUGGAAAGGAGCUCACAAUCCUUAGAGAGAGAAGCAUGAGACUUAGCAAGCUUACUUUUAUCAUUCAUCAAUUCUUCGCAAGAGUCCUUAGCCUUUUUCAAGGAGGCAAGAUCUUUAGCAUGAACAUCAAUGUUUGCACCAAUUUUCAAGCAUAGUUCAUCAUUUUGUGCUUCCUCAUAUUGGACUUUCCGCUCAAGGAUUUAAUAUUUUUCCUUUUCCUCGGUGACGAGGGUCUCGAGUUCCUUAAUGGUGAUGGUGUGCUUCCUCACCAUCUCCAUAAGAAUGCGAAACAUAGUGAGCUUCUUUCCUUUGAGAAAGCACAUGAACUUAUUUAGUUUAACAAGCAUAGGAUCAUCUAUAUCAUCAUCCUCAUAACUAUCCUUCGCAUCAAGAUACUCAUCAGUAGGAGUAGAAGGAGUGAAAAGAGGAGGGUUUGAUUGUGGGGUUACCUUGACCUUGUCAGGAGAGCUUUGGUCCUCUCCAUCUUCUACCACGGCCUUUGCCAUUAGGCACUUGUGAGUGUUGCCCUUGUAGUCUUUCAUAUAGUUGUAGGUGACAACAUUACCACUCUUGUUGACUAGCCUCAAAGUGUUUUGAGAAUAUUGAGAAACUCUGGCAACACCACUAACAUCAUCCGGAUCCGAUUCUUCAUGAGAAACCAUUGCUUUCCCAUCUCUCUUCUUGAGCUUAGAGUUCAAAGGAUUGGGCAACUUCUUCUUGGUAAAGGUCUUGGGAAACCCUGGUUUAUCUUCUCUCUUCUCAUAAGGGCACUCGUUGGAGAAGUGGUUGGUUUCUUCACAGUUGUAGCAUUUUCUCACUUUCUUCUUCUGGAAUCUUCCUUUGAAUUUUCCAACGCUAAACUUCUUGACAAAAAGAGCAAUGUCUUCGUAUGACGGGCUCUCAUCGGAGUCAACCUCAUCACCAUCCUCAUCAUCAUCGUCGUUGUCUUCUUCACUUUGCUCUUCUUCACAUACAUGAAGUAAAUAUGCCCUAGAGGCAAUAAUAAAGUUGUUACUUAUAUGUCCUUAUAUCAUGAUGACUGUUUAUUAUUCAUGCUAGAAUUGUAUUAACCAGAAACUUAGUACAUGUGUGAAUACAUAGACAAACAGAGUGUCACUAGUAUGCCUCUACUUGACUAGCUCGUUGAAUCAAUGAUGGUUAUGUUUCCUGACCAUAGACAUGAGUUGUCAUUUGAUUAACAGGAUCACAUCAUUAGAAAAUGAUGUGAUUGACUUGACCCAUCUGUUAGCUUAGCACGAUGAUCGUUUAGUUUGUUGCUAUUGCUUUCUCCAUAACUUAUACAUGUUCCUAUGACUAUGAGAUCAUGCAACUCCCGAAUACCGGAGGAACACUUUGUGUGCUAGCAAACUUCACAAUGUAACUGGGUGAUUAUAAAGGUGCUCUACAGGUGUCUCCGAUGGUGUUUGUUUAGUUGGCAUAGAUCGAGAUUAGGAUUUGUCACUCCGAUUGUCGAAGAGGUAUCUCUAGGCCCUCUCGGUAAUGCACAUCAAUAUAAGCCUUGCAAGCAAUGUGACUAAUGAGUUAGUUGCGGGAUGAUGCAUUACAGAACGAAUAAAGAGACUUGGCGGUAACGAGAUUGAAGUAGGUAUUGAGAUACCGAUGAUCGAAUCUCGGGUAAGUAACAUACCGAUGACAAAGGGAACAACGUAUAUCGUUAUGCGGUUUGACCGAUAAAGAUCUUCGUACAAUAUGUGGGAGCCAAUAUGAACAUCCAGGUUCCGCUAUUGGUUAUUGACCGGAGACGUGUAUCGGUCAUGUCUACAUAGUUCUCGAACCCGUAGGGUCCGCACGCUUAACGUUUGGUGACGAUCGGUAUUAUGAGUUUAUGUGUUUUGAUGUACCGAAGGUAGUUCGGAGUCCCGGAUGUGAACACGGACAUGACGAGGAGUCUUGAAAUGGCCGAGACAUAAAGAUUGAUAUAUUGGAUGACUAUAUUCGGACACCGAAUGAGUUUCGGGGGUUACCGGAUAAUUAUUGGAGUGGUGGGGGGUUGUCGGAACCCCCGGGGGAACUAAUGGGCCAACAUGGGCCUUGUGAGAGAGAGAGGAGGGGCCAUAGGGCUGGCCGUGCCCCCCCUUGGGAGUCCGAACUGGACAAGGAGGGGGCGGCGCCCCCUCUUUCCCUCCCUCCCUUUCUUCCCCCCUCCUUCUUUCUAGUUGGACUAGGAAAGGGGGGGGGGGUCCUACUCCUACUAGGAGGAGGACUCCCCCCUCUCCUUGGCGCGCCCCAAGGACGGCCGACCUUCCCCCUUGCUCCUUUAUAUACGGGGGCAGGGGGCACCCUAGAACACACAAGUUGAUUGUUUCCAGCCGUGUGCGGUGCCCCCCCUCCACCAUAAUCCACCUCGGUCAUAUCGUAGCGGUGCUUAGGCGAAGCCCUAUUCUGGUAGCAUCAUCAUCACCGUCAUCAUGCCAUCGUGCUGACAAAGCUCUCCCUUGACACUCUGCUAGAUCGUGAGUUCGUGGGACGUCACCGAGCUGAACGUGUGCAGAUCACGGAGGUGCCAUACUUUUGGUACUAGGAUCGUUCGAUCGUGAAGACGUAUGACUACAUCAACCGCGUUGUCAUAACACUUCCGCUUAUGGUCUACGAGGGUACGCAGGCAACACUCUCCCCUCUCGUUGCUAUGCGUCACCAUGAUCUUGCGUGUGCGUAGGAUUUUUUUUGAAAUUACUGCGUUACCCAACAGUGGCAUCCGAGCCACGUCUAUGCGUAUAUGUUUUAUGCACGAGUAGAACACAAAGGAGUUGUGGGUGUGGGUAUAUACAUAUUGCUUGUCGUCACUAGUUGUUUCCUGAUUCGGCAGUAUUGUUGGAUGAAGCGGCCCAGACCGACAUUACACGUACGCUUACGCGAGACUGGUUCUACCAACGUGCUUCGCACACAGGUGGUUGGUGGGUGUCAGUUUCUCCAACUUUAGUUGAAUUGGAUUCAAUGAACAGGGUUCUUUCUGAAGAUCAAAAAGCAAGCACUAUACCGUGUUGUGGUUCUUGAUGCGUAGGUAAGAACAGUUCUUGCUCAGCCCGUUGCAGCCACGUAAAACUUGCAACAACAAAGUAGAGGAUGUCUAACUUAUUUUUGCAGGGCAUGUUGUGAUCUGAUAUGGUCAAGACAUGAUGCUAAAUUUUAUUGUAUGAGAUGAUCAUGUUUGUAAUGGAGUUAUUGGCAACUGGCAGGAGCCGUAUGGUUGUCGCUUUAUUGUAUGAAAUGCAAUCGCCAUGUAAUUGCUUUACUUUAUCACUAAGCGGUAGUGAUAGUCGUAGAAGCAAUAGUUGGCGUGACGACAAUGAUGCUUCGAUGGAGAUCAAGGUGUCAAGCCGGUGAUAAUGGUGAUCAUGACGAUGCUUUGGAGUUGGAGAUCAAAGGCACAAGAUGAUGAUGGCCAUAUCAUAUCACUUAUAUUGAUUGCAUGUGAUGUUUAUCCUUUAUGCAUCUUAUUUUGCUUAGUUCGACGGUAGCAUUAUAAGAUGAUCUCUCACUAAAUUUCAAGGUAUAAGUGUUCUCCCUGAGUAUGCACCGUUGCUACAGUUUGUCGUGCCGAGACACCACAUGAUGAUCGGGUGUGAUAAGCUCUACGUUCACAUACAACAGGUGCAAGCCAGUUUUGCACACGCAGAAUACUCAGGUUAAACUUGAUGAGCCUAGCAUAUGCAGAUAUGGCCUCGGAACACUGAGACCGAAAGGUCGAGCGUGAAUCAUAUUGUAGAUAUGAUCAACAUAGUGAUGUUCACCAUUGAAAACUACUCCAUCUCACGUGAUGAUCGGACAUGGUUUAGUUGAUAUGGAUCACGUGAUCACUUAGAUGAUUAGAGAGAUAUCUAUCUAAGUGGGAGUUCUUAAGUAAUUUGAUUAAUUGAACUUUAAUUUAUCAUGAACUUAGUACCUGAUAGUAUUUUGCAUGUCUAUGUUGUUGUAGAUAGAUGGCCCAUGCUGUUGUUCUGUUGAAUUUUAAUGCGUUCCUAGAGAAAGCUAAGUUGAAAUAUGAUGGUAGCAACUACACGGACUGGGUCCGUAACUUGAGGAUUAUCCUCAUUGCUGCACAGAAGAAUUACGUCCUAGAAGCACUGCUAGGUGACAAACCCGCUACAGGAGCAACGCCAGAUGUUAUGAACACCUGGCAGAGCAAAGCUGAUGACUACUUGAUAGUUAAGUGUGCCAUGCUUUGCGGCUUAGAACCAGGACUUCAACGACGUUUUGAACGUCAUGGAGCAUAUGAGAUGUUCCAAGAGUUGAAGUUAAUAUUUCAAGCAAAUGCCCGGAUUGAGAGAUAUGAAGUCUCCAAUAAGUUCUACAGCUGCAAAAUGGAGGAGAAUAGUUCUGUCUGCGGACAUAUACUCAGAAUGUCUGGGUACUAUAAUCAUUUGACUCAGCUGGGAGUUAAUCUUCCGGUUGAUAGUGUCAUUAAUAGAGUUCUUCAAUCACUGCCACCAAGCUACAAGAGCUUCAUGAUGAACUAUAAUAUGCAAGGGAUGGAUAAGACGAUUCCUGCGCACUUCACAAUGCUAAAGGCUGCAGAGGUAGAAAUCAAGAAGGAGCAUCAAAUGUUGAUGGUCAACAAGACCACAAGUUUCAAGAAAAAGGGUAAAGGGAAGAAGGGGAACUUCAAGAAGAAUAGCAAGCUAGUUGCUGCUCAAGUGAAGAAACCCAAGUCUGGACCUAAGCCUGAGACUGAGUGCUUCUACUUCAAAGGGACUGGUCACUUGAAGCGGAACUGCCCCAAAUAUUUGGCAGAGAAGAAGGAUGGCAAAGUGAAAGGUAUAUUUGAUAUACAUGUUAUUGAUGUGUACCUUACUAAUGCUCGCAGUAGUGCCUGGGUAUUUGAUACUGGUUCAGUUGCUAACAUUUGCAACUCGAAACAGGGGCUACAGAUUAAGCGAAGAUUGGCUAAGGACGAGGUGACGAUGCGCGUGGGAAAUGGUUCCAAAGUCGAUGUGAUCGUCGUCGGUACUCUACCUCUACAUCUACCUUUGGGAUUAGUUUUAGACCUAAAUAAUUGUUAUUUGGUGCCAGCGUUGAGCAUGAACAUUAUAUCUGGAUCUUGUUUGAUGCGAGACAAUUAUUCAUUUAAAUCAGAGAAUAAUGGUUGUUCUAUUUAUAUGAGUAAUAUCUUUUAUGGUCAUGCACCCUUGAUGAGUGGUCUAUUUUUACUAAACCUUGAUAGUAGUGAUACACAUGUUCAUAGUAUUGAAGCCAAAAGAUGCAGUUGAUAAUGAUAGUGCAACUUAUUGUGGCGCUGCCGUUUAGGUCAUAUUGGUGUAAAGCGCAUGAAGAAACUCCAUUCUGAUGGACUUCUGGAAUCACUUGAUACUUGCGAACAAUGCCUCAUGGGCAAGAUGACUAAAACUCCGUUCUCCGGAACAAUGGAGUGAGCAAUAGAGUUAUUGGAAAUCAUACAUACUGAUGUAUGUGGUCCAAUGAACAUUGAAGCUCGCGGCGAAUAUCGUUAUUUUCUCACCUUCACUGAUGAUUUGAGUAGAUAUGGGUAUAUCUACUUAAUGAAACAUAAGUCUAAAACAUUUGAAAAUUUCAAAGGAUUUCAUAGUGAAGUGGAAAAUCAUCGUGACGAGAAAAUCAAGUUUCUGCGAUCUGAUCGUGAAGGUGAAUAUUCGAGUUAUGAGUUUGGACUUCAUUUGAAACAAUGCGGAAUAGUUUCGCAACUCACGCCACCUGGAACACCAUAGCGUAAUGGUGUGUCCGAACGUUGUAAUCGUACUUUACUAGAUAUGGUGCAAUCUAUGAUGUCUCUCACUGAUUUACCGCUAUCAUUUUGGGGUUAUGCUUUAGAGACAGCUGCAUUCACAUUAAAUAGGGCACCAUCUAUAUCUGUUGAGUUGACACCUUAUGAACUGUGGUUUGGCAAGAAACCCAAGUUGUUGUUUCUUAAAGUUUGGGGUUGCGAUGCUUAUGUGAAGAAACUUCAACCUGAUAAGCUCGAACCCAAAUCGGAGAAAUGUGUCUUCAUAGGAUACCCAAAGGAGACUGUUGGGUACACCUUCUAUCACAGAUCCGAAGGCAAGAUAUUCGUUGCUAAAAAUGGAUCCUUUCUAGAGAAGGACUUUCUCUCGAAAGAAGUGAGUGGGAGGAAAGUAGAACUUGAUGAGGUAAUUGUACCUUCUCCCUUAUUGGAAAGUAGUUCAUCACUGAAAUCAGUUCCAGUGAUUCCUACACCAGUAAGUGAGGAAGCUAAUGAUGAUGAUCAUGAAACUUCUGAUCAAGUUACUACCGAACCUCAUAGGUCAACCAAAGUAAGAUCCGCACCAGAGUGGUACAGAAUCCUAUUCUGGAAGUCAUGUUACUUGACCAUGACGAACCUACAAACUAUGAGGAAGUGAUGAUGAGCCCAGAUACCGCAAAAUGGCUUGAGGCCAUGAAAUCUGAGAUGGGAUCCAUGUAUGAGAACAAAGUGUGGACUUUGGUUGACUUGCCCGUUGAUCAGCAGGCCAUGGAGAAUAAAUGGAUCUUCAAGAGGAAGACUGACGCUGAUGGUAAUAUUACUGUCUACAAAGCUCGAGUUGUUGCAAAAGGUUUUCAACAAGUUCAAGGAGUUGACUACGAUGAGACCUUCUCACCCGUAGCGAUGCUUAAGUCCGUCUGAAUCAUGUUAGCAAUUGUUGCAUUUUAUGAUUAUGAAAUUUGGCAAAUGGAUGUAAAGACUGCAUUCCUGAAUGGAUUUCUGGAAGAAGAGUUGUAUAUGAUGUAACCUGAAGGUUUUAUCGAUCCAAAGGAUGCUAACAAAGUGUGCAAGCUCCAGCGAUCCAUUUAUGGACUGGUGCAAGCAUCUCAUAGUUAGAAUAAACAUUUUGAUAGUGUGAUCAAAGCAUAUGGUUUUAUACAGACUUUUAGAGAAGCCUAUAUUUACAAGAAAGUGAGUGGGAGCUCUGUAGCAUUUCUAAUAUUAUAUGUGGAUGACAUAUUGUUGAUUGGAAAUGAUAUAGAAUUUCUGGAUAGCAUAAAAGGAUAUUUGAAUAAGAGUUUUUCAAUGAAAGACCUCGGUGAAGCUGCUUAUAUAUUGGGCAUCAAGAUCUAUAGAGAUAGAUCAAGACGCUUAAUUGGACUUUCACAAAGCACAUACCUUGAUAAAGUUUUGAAGAAGUUCAAAAUGGAUCAAGCAAAGAAAGGGUUCUUGCCUGUAUUACAAGGUGUGAAUUUGAGUCAGACUCAAUGCCCAACCACUGCAGAAGAUAGAGACAAAAUGAAAGGUGUUCCCUAUGCUUCAGCCAUAGGCUCUAUCAUGUAUGUGAUGCUAUGUACUAGACCUGAUGUGUGCCUUGCUAUCAGUUUAGCAGGGAGGCACCAAAGUAAUCCAGGAGUGGAUCACUAGACAUCGGUCAAGAACAUCCUGAAAUACCUGAAAAGGACUAAGGAUAUGUUUCGCAUUUAUGGAGGUGACAAAGAGCUCGUCAUAAAUGGUUACUUCUAUGCAAGCUUUGACACUAAUUCGGAUGACUCUAAGUCACAAACCGGAUACGUGUUUUUAUUAAAUGGUGGAGCUGUCAGUUGGUGCAGUUCCAAGCAGAGCGUCGUGGCGGGAUCUACAUGUGAAGCGGAGUACAUAGCUGCUUUUGAAGCAGCAAAUGAAGGAGUCUGGAUGAAUGAGUUCAUAUCCGAUCUAGGUGUCAUACCUAGUGCAUCGGGUCCAAUGAAAAUAUUUUGUGACAAUACUGGUGCAAUUGCCUUGGCAAAGGAAUCUAGAUUUCACGAGAGAACCAAGCACAUCAAGAGACGCUUCAAUUCCAUCCAUGAUCAAGUCAAGGAGGGAGACAUAGAGAUUUGCAAGAUACAUACAGAUCUGAAUGUUGCAGACCCGUUGACUAAGCCUCUCUCACGAGCAAAACAUGAUCAACAUCAAGACUCCAUGGGUGUUAGAAUCAUUACAAUGUAAUCUAGAUUAUUGACUCUAGUGCAAGUGGGAGACUGAAGGAAAUAUGCUCUAGAGGCAAUAAUAAAGUUGUUAUUUAUAUUUCCUUAUAUCAUGAUAAAUGUUUAUUAUUCACGCUAGAAUUGUAUUAACCAGAAACUUAGUACAUGUGUGAAUACAUAGACAAACAGAGUGUCACUAGUAUGCCUCUACUUGACUAGCUCGUUGAAUCAAUGAUGGUUAUGUUUCAUGACCAUAGACAUGAGUUGUCAUUUGAUUAACGGGAUCACAUCAUUAGAGAAUGAUGUGAUUGACUUGACCAAUCCUUUAGCUUAGCAUGAUGAUCGUUUAGUUUGUUGCUAUUGCUUUCUCCAUAACUUAUACAUGUUCCUAUGACUAUGAGAUCAUGCAACUCCCGGAUACCGGAGGAACACUUUGUGUGCUAGCAAACUUCACAACGUAACUGGGUGAUUAUAAAGGUGCUCUACAGGUGUCUCCGAUGGUGUUUGUUGAGUUGGCAUAGAUAGACAUUAGGAUUUGCCACUCCGAUUGUCGGAGAGGUAUAUCUGGGCCCUCUUAGUAAUGCACAUCAAUAUAAGCCUUGCAAGCAAUGUGACUAAUGAGUUAGUUGUGGGAUGAUGCAUUACGGAACGAAUAAAGAGAUUUGCCGGUAACGAGAUUGAACUAGGUAUUGAGAUACCGAUGAUCGAAUCUCGGGCAAGUAACAUACCGAUGACAAAGGGAACAAUGUAUAUCGUUAUGCGGUUUGACCGAUAAAGAUCUUCGUAGAAUAUGUGGGAGCCAAUAUGAACAUCCAGGUUCCUCUAUUGGUUCUUGAGCGGAGACGUGUCUCGGUCAUGUCUACAUAGUUCUUGAACCCGUAGGGUCCGCACGCUUAACGUUUGGUGACGAUCGGUAUUAUGAGUUUAUGUGUUUUGAUGUACCGAAGGUAGUUCUAAGUCCCGGAUGUGAUCACAGACAUACUGAGGAGUCUUGAAAUGGACGAGACAUAAAGAUUGAUAUAUUGGAUGACUAUAUUCGGACACCGGAUGAGUUCUAGGGGUCACCAGAUAAUUAUAGGAGUGCCGGGGGGUUAUCGGAACCCCCAGGGGAACUAAUGGGCCAACAUGGGCCUUGUGAGAGAGGGAGAGAGAGGAGAGGCCAUAGGGAUGGCCCUCCACCCCUUGGGAGUCCGAAUUGGACAAGGAGGGGGGGGGGGCGGCGCCCCCCUCUUUCCCUCCCUUUCCUUCCCCUUCCUUCUUCCUAGUUGGACUAGGAAAGGNNNNNNNNNNNNNNNNNNNNNNNNNNNNNNNNNNNNNNNNNNNNNNNNNNNNNNNNNNNNNNNNNNNNNNNNNNNNNNNNNNNNNNNNNNNNNNNNNNNNNNNNNNNNNNNNNNNNNNNNNNNNNNNNNNNNNNNNNNNNNNNNNNNNNNNNNNNNNNNNNNNNNNNNNNNNNNNNNNNNNNNNNNNNNNNNNNNNNNNNNNNNNNNNNNNNNNNNNNNNNNNNNNNNNNNNNNNNNNNNNNNNNNNNNNNNNNNNNNNNNNNNNNNNNNNNNNNNNNNNNNNNNNNNNNNNNNNNNNNNNNNNNNNNNNNNNNNNNNNNNNNNNNNNNNNNNNNNNNNNNUAGCGGUGCUUAGGGGAAGCCCUAUUCCGGUAGCAUCGUCAUCACCGUCAUCACGCCGUCAUGCUGACGAAGCUCUCCCUCGACACUCUGCUGGAUCGUGAGUUCGUGGGACGUCACUGAGCUGAACGUGUUCAGAUCGCGGAGGUGCCGUACUUUCGGUACUAGGAUCGGUCGAUCGUGAAGACGUACGACUACAUCAACCACGUUGUCAUAACACUUCCGCUUACGGUCUACGAGGGUACGUAGACAACACUCUCCCCUCUUGUUGCUAUGCAUCACCAUGAUCUUGCGUGUGCGUAGGAUUUUUUUUGAAAUUACUGUGUUACCCAACAAUACAUGCUUGGCCUUCAAUGCAAGGUUGAUCUUUGAUGUUGAGGUACCAUGCAUGGCAAGAUGUUUUGCGGCAUUUUCCUUUGUCUCUUAAAAUAGUUGGAAAGUGGAUAUGAUGUCAUCUGGAGUCAUUUCCUUGAAUCCAUGGUGUUGUCUUAUGUCCCACACCAUUUGGUGAUGAUAUGGAGCAAUAGCAUGAAGCAACUUGUCCACGAGAAAUUGCUUAGUCAAGUUAAAUCCAUCUUGUGUCUUGUCACACUCACAGGACUCAAUGUCAGUGGUGAGAGUCAUGAGACGCUCAAGAAGUUUCUUGGGAGAUUCACCUUUCUCCAUACAGAAGUUUUGUAAUUGACCCUUGGCAAUUUCAUAUUGAGCAAGCCGGAGAGUGGAGGUACCGGUCUUGGUCCUCACAAUGCUAUCCCUUAAUUCCUUGGCACUUGUGAUAUGUAUGUAUGGUCUCCUUUGCUUGUCAGUCAUACCUCUCCUCAUGCACAUGGUUGGUGUGUCAUUGAGAUUCUUGUCAUAUACCUCUCUUGGAGUAAGAUUCUUCGGAUCAACAACUUGGUAGCCAUACUCCAAGAUUUCCAACAUCUCAUCAUUUCCAUAUCGAAGAUGAUCCUGCAUAGCAACUCUCCACAAAGCAAAAUUGGUAGUGUCAUCAAGUAAAGGAGGUUUGCCUUGAGGGUUAUACUUUGGCUUCUCUAUUUGAGGUCUUGCAUAAAGCCAUGGAACACUAGUUUGAUCAUUUCUAGGAGGUUGUUGGCCAAGUGAAGGAGUAGGCACAGUUGGCCUCGAGGCCGCACCACCAGAAAGUGGUGCGAGCAUCGUGGUUAGUGUGGCUAGUCUCAUUUGGACCAAGGCCUCAAGAGAAGCAUCAUGCUCCUCCUUUUGCUUAGCAAGCUCCCGUUCCAGAUCCUCAGAAGUGAAGGACUUGACUUCCGUGGAAGUUGCGCCCGUAUUCUUCGGAUCCGCAACAAGGGGAGUCCCAUCGGGGUUUAUCUCACUCUAGGGUGGUUAAGCCACAAGAAUAGAGCACGAGGCUCUGAUACCAAUUGAAAGGAUCGAGAUGGACCUAUAGGGGGGGUGAAUAGGUACAAUUACAUAUUUUAAUUAUUACUUAGCAAUUUUUAGGCAAUAAUGUGGAAUAUGAAAGUGAGCCUAACAAUUGCAAGUAUGAUGCUACUAAGAGCUAAGCAAGGUAAACAAGUAACACAAAUAUGUGAGUAGGCAAGCACAAUAUGAUAUGAGUAAUUGCUAUGAGACAAGUAACCACAAGUAGAGAGUUGGGGUUAGGAAUAACCACAACUCCAAGAGACGAGGAUGUAUGCCGAUGUUCACUUCCUUGGAGGUAAACUACGUCACCGUUUAGAGAGGUGGAUGUUACCACGAAGGCACACCAAUGCCACGAAGACUCACCCUAUUCUCUCUUUGAGACAACACCAUGAAGGCAUUUCUCAACCACUAGUGGUAGACCUUGGGGUGGUCUCCAAACCCUCAAAAACUUUCCGGGGGUAAUCACAAUGAUCAAUUCCUCACCGAAAGACUCCUACCGCCUAGGAGUCUCCAACCUCCAAGAGUAACAAGAUCUGAGGGGAAAAAGCUCAAGACUUGCUCAAAUCAUGAUUUGCUUCGGUCACAAGAAGGAGAGGGAGAAGAUAUUUCUUUUGUUGGAACAACUCUUUCAAACUCUCAAGAAUCAAACCGGGAUCUAGGAUUUCGUGGAUGAGCAAGAGAGAGGGAGCACAAGUGUUCUUGAGGCAUGUUGGAGUGGAGUGUUCCACCUUAUCUCAAAGAGGUAAGGAGAUAUUUAUACCCACAAUAGAAUAGAGCCGUUUUGAGCAGAGGUUGACUUGCCCAGAUGAUCUGGAGGACCAUUCGGAUGAUCUGGUCACAAGCCCUCCGGCUAAAGACCCGGAUGAAAGUGGUAGCAGCAGAGCUGCAUGGAGGCCGGACAGCCCGGAUGAUCUGGUCACACGCUCGAAUGAUCCGGAUGAACGACCGGACAAUCCGGCUUUAUCCAUGAAACUUCUGUGACGGAAGAGGCGAUAUUAUCCGGACGAUCCAGGACAAGGUUCGGAUGAUCCAGCUACAAUCAGUGCCAAAUGAUGCUUCCUGGAUGCAUUAUCCGGAUGAUCCGAUCCAGCACCGGAUGAUUCGGGGACAAGCCCAGAUGAUUCGGGGCCAAUUCCGGUUGAUCCCUCUAUGGGGUCAGCUUGUGGAGAGAAUGAAGAGAAAGAGUGGUAGGUUUUGGCUAAGGGGUUUUGCUAGGGAGUUUGGUCUUUUGUGAAAAACUACUUGUCAGGUAGAUUGUGAGCAAGCCUUGAACCUACACCUCGGAUCCCCUCUUAAUAGUGCGGGAUCCCUAUUACUCAAGAAAUAUAUAAAAGAGCACGAUGAUUCGUCUUUGAUUGCUCCUUUCCUCAUUGAUUACUUGCUUGAGUAAUAUCUCAUAUGAUGUGACCAUGACGCACAUUAGAAAAACUAGAGGACUGAUGACCUGUGUAUAUACUUAGCAAACAAGGUUAGUUCCCUAUAUGUAAAUUUGUCAUCAACAUCAAAAAUAUUCUUAAGAGUAAUAUUGCACUUUCAGCAACGCCAUGGAGGGUCGAGAAGGUCCCGUGCGGUCGGGCGUGGCCGCGUCCCUCACGCUGGAGGUGUGUGAUGCCGUGUUGGGUGAGCCGAACGCGAAUCAUCCAUAUCCACUAUGUUGGGUAGUCUGGGCUUGCUACGUUCGGUGGUGUCACACCUGGUCAUUUGACCUCGCCGCACUUGUUGCCUUUGACGAGUAGUACUACAUCAACCUCUCUUUGGUGGCAACUUAUUGUGUGUAUAGGCAAUGCCCUCGCUCUCUAGUUCUGGACAUAGGAAGUCGAGUUGCUCGUUGCAGAGGACGCCUUAGGAUAGAAAACUCAUUUUUAUACAAAAAUGACUAUUAGUCGUUCUUUUAUAAACCAGGUUUUUAGGCUUUAGAAAAACUCGGUUUUAUAUAUUCACAAUUCGGUUAGACAAAACAAACAAGGUUUUAGUUUGUUGCAUUACGUUUAGAAGAACUCAUUUUUCUGUAACCAUCCUAUCCGAACAACCCUACAUGAACAAAGCCAAUAUUUUAUCUGGUCGCAGUGAUGAAAAUACAUUAGAACCAAAUCAUAUAAACUUCCAUUCGUUAUCCUAUACCUGGACACAUUUCUCAAUAUGUUGAUGUCUUUUGUUGGUGUUCCAAAACAUCAUGACACAUUCAUCUAGCAAGGAGAAUAGAAUAUACCCAAAUCUACCUUCUGGGCUGCAAUUUGAAAGGUAAAACCCCUUUGAAGGAAAUAUGCCCUAGAGGCAAUAAUAAAGUUGUUAUUUAUAUUUCCUUAUAUCAUGAUAAAUUUUUAUUAUUUAUGCUAGAAUUGUAUUAACCGGAAACUUAGUACAUGUGUGAAUACAUAGACAAACAAAGUAUCCCUAGUAUGCCUCUACUUGACUAGCUCGUUAAUCAAAGAUGGUUAAGUUUCCUAGCCAUAGACAUGUGUUAUCAUUUGAUGAACAGGAUCACAUCAUUAGAGAAUGAUGUGAUGGACAAGACCCAUCUAUUAGCUUAGCACUAUGAUCGUUUAGUUUAUUGAUAUUGCUUUCUUCAUAACUUACACAUGUUCCUCAGACUAUGAGAUUAUGCAACUCCCGAAUACUGGAGGAACACCUUGUGUGCUAUCAAAUGUCACAACGUAACUGGGUGAUUAUAAAGAUGCUCUACAGGUGUCUUCGAUGGUGUUUGUUGAGUUGGCAUAGAUCGAGAUUAGGAUUUGUCACUCCGUGUAUCGGAGAGGUAUCUCUGGGCCCUCUCGGUAAUGCACAUAAUGUCACAUCCCUAGUUCUGGUAUGACCUAGACCAGCUAGUCUUUUGUGCAUCAUGUUUAAAUUCCAUUUAAAUUUGAAAUGGAUUUGUGAAACCCUCAGAAUCAUUUCUGAAAAUGACCCAAGUAAAAAUUGCUCCAAAAUGGUCCAUGAAAAUGCUCAUGUUGCUCUCUGAAAAUAUUGGACAGAGAUAAAAAUCAAAUCAAUAUUUUUAAGAGCUCAUAAGUAUUUAUUUUGGGCAUUUGGAAUUAAUCCAGUAAUUAUUUGCUUUGGAUAUAUAUUUGCUAUAUAUAUAAUAUAUGUCCAAAAAAUUCUGAAUUUUGGUGAGGGGCUUUGGAUUAAUCCCUUAGGUCCCUGCAAAAUUUGACAGAAUUAAAUAAAAUGGUUUGGUAUUUUUACUAAAUCAAAAACAAAUGCCAGAAAAUAGAAAAGAAAAACAAAAAGGGAAUUACUUACCUGGACCUUACCUGCAGCCUGGCGGCCCAGCAGAGGCCCAGCCCACUGGCCUCUGAUAGUCACCACCUACCUCCCGCCAGGAGGACAACGCGAGCACGCGCCCCGCCACCUCCUGCUUCCUGCCGCUGCCCCGACGCGCCUAGGUGUUGCCACGCACCCCCCGACCCCCCCUCAUCCACUCCCCUCCCCUCUGGUCGCCCCUCUCCUCCUCUGCUCUCUUCCCCACUGCUGCCCGAACGCUGCCGUCGCCGCCGCUCGCCACCGACACGCUCUCCGCCGUUCCCUCGCCCCUCUGACGAGUCCACGAGCUCCACCACGUCGCCUUCUCCGUCUUCGUCAAGCCAAGCAAACGGGGACGCCCCGUGGAGCCAUCACCGCUGUCUUCUUCAUAUCCAGCCGCCGGAGAUCGCCGUCGCCGUUCUGCCCGCGUCGCACCUUCCCCGAGCUCGCUGACGCCUCCGCCGGAUCCUCUGUGAGCCAAUGCGUCGAUCCCCCCUCUCCCCUAGCUCGAUUCCUUCCUCUAACAACGAUGUCGUUGGAGCCGAGAGCUCUUCGCCGCCGUUCAUGUCGCCGUCGUGGCCACUGUCACCUAGGGCCGCGACCGAGCACGCCACCGUGCUCAGUGGAAAGCCAGGACCCCAAAACCCUCACCUGUUUCUCCUGCCGUGCACCGUAGCCCCUUCUCCCCCCGAACUCCGGCCGCCGCCCAAGUGGUCGCCGCCGUCGAUUUAGGCCGUCUCCGGUGAAACAGAGGGCACCAGUGGAUCCGCGCGAGCACCAGCUCCUCGGAGAUGGUCUCCGCGGCCCAUUUGGUCGCCAGAGACGCGAUCCCGAGCCUCUCCGUCGCGUUCGGCCUUGCCGGCGGGUUGGCUGGGUUUAACCCCCCCAGUUGACCAGAUUUGACCGUAUGGGUCAAUGACAUGUGGGGCCCGACCCGUCAGGUGAUUAGCUUAGUGCUAAUCAUCGCUUAUUUAACCCCCUGACGCUGACCAGUGGGCCCCAGCGCCACUAAUCCUACAAUUAGGAUAAUCUAACCCCCUGUUUAACCCGUGUCACUGACGUGUGGACCCCACAUGUCAGGUUUAACCAGUCAGCGUUGUUGACUUGCUGACGCAAGCAUGACGCAGUGCUGACGCAGUUAUUUCUUUUCUGGUUUUAAAUAAAUCAGGAAAUUCCAGAAAAUGAUAUAAACUUUAAAAAUUCAUAGAAAUUCAACCGUAGCUCAGAUUUAAAUAAUUUAUAUAUGAAAAAUUAUCAGAAAAAUUCAAUCUAUCCAUCUGUACCAUUUUCAUGCAUGACAAACCAACCUAUACAUGCCAUAUAUAUGAAAACACAUGAAAGGCAUUUAUAAAGGCUUAUUUUGGAGUUGCAUUUGAAACUUUGGUUCAAAUGGACUUCAUGCAAAUGAAUGCUAGAUGCAUUAACUCAAACAAACAUCACAUACUCAUGCCAUGAUCAUGCAUCAUGUUGUUGCAUAUGCUUGUGUUUGAUUUUCGACACCGUUCCUUCUCGAUAGGUCCUGCUCCGGAGACCAAUCCAGAGUACCUGUCAGAGGAGCAGUGCCCCCUGUUGAUCUACCAGGCAAGCAAACCCCCCUUGUUCAUUCCGAUACAAUCCUACUCUCUCACUCCUGCUCUCAUUUAUUGCACUAGGACAACAAUGAUUCAACUGCUACUUUGUGUUGCGGUAGAUGAACCCAUUCCUCUGCAUGACCUGUCAUUGCCACAGUAACUAGUUGAAACCCACUAGCAUGUGUAGGAGUUGAUUGAAGCCAUUGUUGUGUUCCUACCAUGCCAUGCUUGCUAUUGCUUAGAGUGUGUCAGGUCUGAUUCAUUGGGAAUGAAUUGGAGUACAGUGCUAUGUUCUGAUGUUGAAAGUUAAGCGUGUGAACACGAUUUGGUAAAGGUAGCGGUGAGAGGCCAUGUAGGAGUACAUGGUGGGUUGUCUCACUAGAACCUUCCUUAAGCACUGAGUUCUAUGUAUGUUGUCCAAUGACUCGAUACUACCACACAUUGGGUUCCGGUAACUCGACCCCUCUCGACUUAUUAACCAACUUGAUCUUUGUCCAGGAGUCGCAACUAGUUUCUGGUGUUUGUAGGUAGUGUUAGUAGUCUACCAAGUGGCACCCGGCCAGGUGGGCUUGGGACAGACUAGACACAGUGGCACGGUGUACCAAGUGGCACCCGGAUGGUGGGCUUGGGAACCCUUCUCACAUCGUUUGGGGCCGUGAGCGACAUCCCGGCCGGAUCUCCUUGCGGAUGGAACCCAAAUAGGCGAUAAAACUGGAUGAGAGACUUGUGUGGUUAGUCAGGUUGUGGCCGACACCCUCGCCAGGCUUCCGCUUGAAGGUUGCCGAGGUACAUGACAUGUACAUGGCGAUAAGUGGCGAGAGCAUGUGUGAAUAAGUACACCCCUGCAGGGUUAUCAUGAUCUAUUCGAAUAUCCGUGUCCUCGAUUAUGGACUUCUUGGAUGCUUACGUGGUACAUAGACAACUUAAAGUGGAUACCCUAAAAUGCUCAAGACAAGUGUGAGUGCUAUGGAUGGCCUUCUCGUAAGGAGACGAGGAUGAAUCCAUAGUAGUGUAUUGAUGUGGUGAUUAGUGGACUCGUGUGCGCUGCCUCACCUCAAAGAAGUUUCUCGUUGUCGUAGAACAGGAUAGCCACUGAGUCAAAGCUGGCUUGUUGUAACUAAACCCCAUAUUACCUUAUUGACACAAAUGCAUGUAUGAUAGGAUCUGAUGUAAGUCUUGCCGAGUACCUUUGUACUCACGUUUGCUUUAUUUAUGUUUUGCAGGUGAGACAUCUGUCUCACUAGUAGUACCGCUUGGACUUCGACGAGUAGCUUGUUACCUCAGCUACGAUCUUGUACCCUUGGGAGGGACUUGUAGAUAGUCAGGCCUCUUAGCCUUUUUCUUUUGUAGUUGUCUGUACUCAGACAUGUAAUGCUUCCAUUGCUUGUAUGCUCUGAAUGAUGGGUCAUGUGACCCCUGUUUGUAUUUAAUGCUAUGUGGCUCUUCUGGGCCUUUAUCUAUAUGAGUUUGUGUUAUGUUGUGAUGCCAUGUUGUACAACACAUACUUGCAUGUGAUGCGUACGUGUGACAUGUAUUGCUAUGUGUAGGAUCCGACAAUCUAGUUGUUUAUCCUUGGCAGCCUCUCUUAUGGGGAAAUGUAGUCUAGUGGUUCUUUGAGCCAUAGUAGUCCGCUACAGCCCGGUUCACCGGAGUCCUGCUAGCCCAGCACUACUGCUCAGGACACUUGACUGGCCGGCAUGUGUUUCAUUUCGUUCAUGUGUCUGUCCCUUCGGGGAAAUGUCACGCGGUGACCUCCGGAGUCCUGCCUAGCCUGCUACAGCCCGGGUUCCGCGGAGUCCUGUUAGCCCAGUGCUACAGCCCGGAUUCACACACUGCUGCCCGACAUGCUCAAUGUGAAUCAUGUAUGCCUGUCCCCAUAGGUUAGUGCCGCUUUGGGUUCACGACUAGCCAUGUCGGCCCGGGUUCUCUGUCAUAUGGAUGCUAGCGACACUAUCAUAUACGUGAGCCAAAAGGCGCAAACGGUCCCAGGCCAUGGUAAGGCUACACCCAUGGGAAUAUCGUGCGUGAGGCUGCAAAGUGAUAUGAGGUGUUACAGGCUAGAUCGGUGUGACUUAGAAUCGGGGUCCCGACACAUCACUAUGAGCCUUGCAAGCAAUGUGACUAAUGAGUUAGUCAUGGGAUGAUGCAUUACGGAACGAGUAAAGAGACUUGCUGGUAACGAGAUUGAACUAGGUAUGAUGAUACCGACGAUCGAAUCUCGGGCAAGUAACAUACCGAUGACAAAGGGAACAACAUAUGUUGUUAUGCGGUUUGACCGAUAAAGAUCUUUGUAGAAUAUGUAGGAGCCAAUAUGAGAAUCUAGGUUCCGCUAUUGGUUAUUGACCAGAGAUGUUUCUCGGUCAUGUCUACAUAGUUCUCAAACCCGUAGGGUUCGCACGCUUAACGUUCGAUGGUGAUAUGUAGUAUAAGUUAUGUGAUUUGAUGUACCGAAGGUUGUUUGGAGUCCCGGAUGUGAUCACAGACAUGAUGAGGAGUCUCGAAAUGGUCGAGACAUAAAUAUUCAUAUAUUGGAAGGCUACAUUCGGACAUCGAAAUGGUUCGGGUCGUUUCAGAUAAGUUUUGGAGUACCGGGGGUUACCGGAACCCCCUCUGGGAAGUUAUUGGGCCUUAUGGGCCUAAUGGUGGAAGAGAGGAGGCAGGCCAAGGUGUGGCGCGCGCCUCCUGGCCCAAACCGAAUUGGACUAGGGCUAGGGGGGUCGGCCCCCCUUCCCUUCUCUUCUUCCUCUCCUUCCUUCUUCUCCUACUAGGACUAGGAAAGGGGGCAACCUACUCCUACUAGGAGUAGGAUUCCCCCCCUUGGGCGCGCCCCUUGUGGCCGGCCCUCCUCCUCCUCCCCUCCUUUAUAUACAGGGUAGGGGGCACCCCAUAGACACACAAGUUGAUCUUUAGCCGUGUGUGGUCCCCCCCUCCACAGUUUUACACCUUGGUCAUAUUGUCGUAGUGCUUAGGCGAAGCCCUGCGCCAGUAACUUCAUCAUCACCGUCAACACGCCAUCGUGCUGACAGAACUCACCCUCGGCCUCAGAUGGAUCAAGAGUACGAGGGACGUCACCGAUCUAAACGUGUCCAGAUCGCGGAGGUGUUGUGCGUUCGGUACUUGAUCGGUUCGAUCGCGAAGACGUUUGACUACAUCAACCGCGUUACUUAACGCUUCCGCUUCACACCCCCCUCUUGUUGCUAUGCAUCUCCUAGAUAGAUCUUGCGUGAUCGUAGGAAUUUUUCUGAAAUACUGCGUUCCCCAACAGUGGCAUCCGAGCUAGGUCUAUGCGUAUAUGUUGUAUGCACGAGUAGAACACAAAGAAUUGUGGGCGAUAAUAGUCAUACUCCUUACCAGCAUGCCAUACUUUGAUUCGGCAGUAUUGUUGGAUGAAGCAGCCUAGACCGACAUUACAUGACCGUGUUCAUGAGACUGGUUCUACCGCCGUGCUUCGCACACAGGUGCCUAGUGGGUGUCUGUUUCUCUAGCUUUAGUUGAAUCGAGUUUGACUACGCCCGGUCCUUGUUGAAGGUUAAAACAUCACACUUGACGAAAACUCAUUGUGGUUUUGAUGCGUAGGUAAGAACAGUUCUUGCUAGAAGCCCGUAGAAGCCACGUAAAACUUGCAACAACAAAGUAGAGUACGUCUAACUUAUUUUUGCAGGGCUUGGUGUGAUGUGAUAUGGUCAAGAUGUGAUGAUAUAUAAAUUGUUGUAUGAGAUGAUCAUGUUUUGUAACAGUUAUCGGCAACUGGCAGAGCCAUAUGGUUGUCACUUUAUUGUAUGAAAUGCAAUCGCCAUGUAAUUGCUUUACUUUAAGACAAAGCGGUAGCGAUAGUCGUAGAAGCAAUAGUUGGCGAGACGACAAUGAUGCUUCGAUGGAGAUCAAGGUGUCAAGCCGAUGACGAUGGUGAUCAUGACGGUGUUUGGAGAUGGAGAUCAAAGGCACAAGAUGAUGAUGGACAUAUCAUAUCACUUAUUUGAUUGCAUGUGAUGUUUAUCCUUUAUGCAUCUUAUUUUGCUUUGUUCACUGGUAUAAUUAUAAGAUGAUCUCUCACUAAAUUUGAAGGUAUAAGUGUUCUCCCUGAGUAUGCACCUUUGCUUCAGUUUGUCGUGCCGAGACGCCACAUGAUGAUCGGGUGUGAUAAGCUCUACGUUCACAUACAAUGGGUGCAAGCCAGUUUUGCACAUGCGGAAUACUCGGGUUAAACUUGAUGAGCCUAGCAUAUGCAGAUAUGGCCUCGGAACACUAAUACCGAAAGGUCGAGCGUGAAUCAUAUAGUAGAUAUGAUCAACAUAGUGAUGUUCACCAUUGAAAACUACUUUAUCUCACGUGAUGAUUGGACAUGGUUUAGUUGAUAUGGAUCACGUGAUCACUUAGAUGAUUAGAGGGAUGAUCACUUAAAUUUAUCAUGAACUUAGUCCUAAUAGUAUUUGCAUCUAUGUUGUAGAUCAACUGCUCGCGUAUAGCUUCCCCGUUUUAUUUAUGAUAUGUUCCUAGAGAAAACUAUAUUGAAAGAUGUUAGUAGCAAUGAGGCGGACUAGCUCCGUGAUCUGAGGAUUAUCCUCAUUGCUGCACAGAAGAAUUAUGUCCUUGAUGCACCGCUAGGUGAUGGACCUAUUGCAGGAGCAGAGGCAGACGUUAUGAACGUUUGGCAAGCUCGGUAUGAUGACUACUUGAUAGUUUAGUGCGCCAUGCUUUACGGCUUAGAACCGGGACUUCAAAAACAUUUUGAAUGCCACAGAGCAUAUAAGAUGUUCCAAGAGUUGAAAUUAGUAUUUCAGACUCAUGCCCGUGUCGAGAGGUAUGAGACCUCUGAUAGUACUUUGCCUACAAGAUGGAGGAGAAUAGCUCAACCAGUGAGCAUGUGCUCAGAUUGUCUGGGUACUACAAUUGCUUGAAUCAAGUGGGAGUUAAUCUUCCUGAUAAGAUAGUGAUUGACAGAAUUCUCUAGUCAAUAUCACCAAGUUAUUGGAACUUAGUGAUGAACUAUAAUAUGCAAGGGAUGACGUAAAAUGAUUCCUGAGCUCUUCGCGAUGCUGAAAUCAGCAAAGGUAGAAAUCAAGAAAAGCAUCAAGUGUUGAUGGUUGACAAGACCACUAGUUUCAAGUAAAAGGGCAAGGGAAAGAAAGGGAACUUCAAGAAGAAUGGCAAGCAAGUUGCCACUCCCAUGAAGAAGCCCAAAGCUAGACCCAAGCCUGAAACUGAGUGCUUCUACUCCAAAGGAAAUGGUCACUGGAAGCGGAACUGCCCCAAAUACUUAGCAGAUAAGAAGGAUGGCAAAGUGAACAAAAGUAUAUAUGAUGUACAUGUUAUUUAUGUGUACUUUACUAGUGUUCAUAGUAUCCCCUGGGUAUUUGAUACUGCUUCAGUUGCUAUGAUUAGUAACUUAAAAUAGGAGUUACAAAGUGGACAAAGACUAGUUAAGGGUGAGGUGAUGAUGUGUGUUGGAAGUAAUUCCAAGGUUGAUAAGAUCACCAUCGCACACUCCCUUUACCUUCGAGAUUAGUGUUGAACCUAAAAUAAAUGUUGUUUGGUGUUUGCGUUGAGCAUAAUAUGAUUGGAUCAUGUUUAUUGCAAUACGGUUAUUCAUUUAAGUCAAAGAAUAAUUGUUAUUCUGUUUACAUGAAUAAAACCUUCUGUGGUCAUACACCCAAGGUGAAUGGUUUAUUGAAUCUCGAUCGUAGUAAUGCACAUAUUCAUAAUAUUGAUGCCAAAAGAUGCAAAGUUGAUAAUGAUAGUGCAACAUACUAGUGGCACUGCCGUUUAGGUCAUAUUGGUGUAAAGCGCAUGAAGAAACUCCAUGCGGAUGGAUUUUUGGAAUCACUUGAUUAUGAAUCAUUUGAUGCUUGCGAACCAUGCCUCAUGGGAAAGAUGACUAAGACUCUGUUCUCUGAAACAAUGGAGCGAACCACUGGCUUACUGGGAAUAAUACAUACUGAUGUAUGUGGUCCGAUGAGUGUUGAGGCUCGCGGCGGGUAUCGUUAUUUUCUUACCUUCACAGAUGAUUUAAGCAGAUAUGGGUAUAUCUACUUAAUGAAACACAAGUCUGAAACAUUUGAAAAGUCCAAAGAAAUUCAGAGUGAAGUUAAGAAUCAUCGUAACGAGAAAAUAAAGUUUCUACGAUCUGACUACGGAAGCAAAUAUUUGAGUUACGAGUUUGGCCUUCAUUUAAAAACAAUGUGGAAUAAGUUUCACAACUCAUGCCACCUGGAACACCACGGAGUAAUGGUGUGUCUGAACGUCAUAACUGUACUUUAUUAGAUAUGGUGCGAUCUAUGAUGUCUCUUACCAAUUUACCACUAUCAUUUUGGGGUUAUGCAUUAGAGACAACUGCAUUCACGUUAAAUAGGGCACCGUCUAAAAAUCCGUUGAGACGACACCAUGUGAACUGUGGUUUAGCAAGAAACCUAAGCUGUCAUUUCUUAAAGUUUGGGGUUGCGAUGCUUAUGUUUCAGCCUGAUAAGCUCAAAAACCCAAAUUGGAGAAGUGCGUCUUCAUAGGAUACCCAAAAGAAACUGUUGGGUACACCUUCUAUCACAGAUCCGAAGGCAAGAUCUUUGUUUCUAAGAGUGGAUCCUUUCUAGAGAAGGAGUUUCUCUCAAAAGAAGUGAGUGGGAGGAAAGUAGAACUUGAUGAGGUAAUUGUACCUUCUCUCCAAUUGGAAAGUAGCUCAUCACUGAAAUCAGUUCCAGUGAUGCCUGCACCAAUUAGUGAGGAAGUUAAUGAUGAUGAUCAUGAAACUUCAGAUCAAGUUACUACCGAACCUCGUAGGUCAACUAGAGUACGUUCCACACAAGAGUGGUACGGUAAUCCUAUUCUGGAAGUCAUGUUAUUAGACCAUGACGAACCUACGAACUAUGAGGAAGUGAUGAUGAGCCCAGAUUCCGUGAAAUGGCUUAAGACCAUGAAAUCUGAGAUGGGAUCCAUGUAUGAGAACAAAGUAUGGACUUCACUUGACUUGCCCGAUGAUCGGUGAGCCAUUUAGAAUAAAUGGAUCUUCAAGAGGAAGACGGACGCUGAUAGUAGUGUUACUAUCUACAAAGCUCAAAUUGUCGCAAAAGGUUUUUCCACAAGUUUAAGGUGUUGACUAUGAUGAGAUUUUCUCACUCGUAUCGAUGCUUAAAAGUCUGUCCGAAUCAUGUUAGCAGUUGCCACAUUUUAUGAAAUCUGGCAAAUGGAUAUCAAAACUACAUUCCUGAAUGGAUUUAUUAAAGAAGAGUUGUAUAUGAUGCAACCAGAAGGUUUUGUCAAUCCUAAAGGUGCUAACAAAGUGUGCAAGCUCCAGCGAUCCAUCCACUACAAAAAAAAGACACAUCCGUGACAUUUUGGGCCGAACGAAAAAAAAAA
rnacentral:lncRNA from 1 species